UUUUUUAUGCCCGUUUCAAAAUGCGGUCAAAACGGCGGGCUUGACCGUUCCUAGCUAGUGGUUGAAUCUUGGAAUUUUUUUUUGGUGUUUCUAUGAUUAAAUAGAUACUUAUUUACCUAGAAAUGAUUUUUGGAAAAAAUAAAGAGCAAACUAUGAGGCAACUGCAGUUCACAUUUGACCCGCUUCCAACUGAAUUUACGGGAAUGUCUUUUUCACCAGAGGUGGAUCAAAAAUUUUGACACCCAACCAUUUUGUCAAUUGUGCAUUAUAUAUGGCUAGUAUUUUAUAAAAUUGAUUUGGUCCAUUUUUGCAACAAUUAUUUGGUAGUUCCUUCACAAAAAACCUCCUUUUGGACACUCGGAAAAUGAAAAAUGAAUUUUCCGUGCAAAGAAAAUGAAAACUUCCUUAGGCAACAUUGUUUGGAAUUCCAAUAUGUACCCUUGUGCACAAUAUGAGAUCAUUUGAACAAACUAUGCCAUAAAUGUGGCCAUAAGAUUGAUCAUUUGGCUUGAAAGCCAUGAAUCUUCACGCAUGAUAGCUCAUUUUUGAGAACACUUUUUUAAAAUAAUUUCUGUAUACAAGUUUAUUAUUUUUCCUGCAAACUUGGUCAUAUAUAAUGACACAAUGCGAAGGUUUUCCAAUUUUUUGAUUUUUUCUGAAUUUUUUAUGCCCGUUUCAAAAUGCGGUCAAAACGGCGGGAAUGACUGUUCCUAUCUAGUGGUUGAAUCUUGGAAUUUUUUUGGUGUUUCUCUGAUUAAAUAGAUACUUAUGUACCUAUAAAUGAUUUUUUGAAAAAAUAAAGAGCAAACUAUGAGGUAGCUGCAGUUCAAAUUUGACCCGCUUCCAACUAAAUCGGCGGAAAUUUGUCUUUUUCACCAGAGGUGGAUCAAAACUUUUUACACCCAACCAUUUGGUCAAUUGUGCAUUAAAUAUGGCAUAGUUUUUUAUAAAAUUGAUUUGGUCCAAUUUUUCAAUAAUUAUUUGAUAGGUUCUUCACAAAAAAACUUCAUUUGGGGCACUCGGAAAAUGAAAAAUGGCUCUUUUGUGCAAUGAAAGUGAAAACUCCCCAAAGCAACAUUGUUUGGAAUUCCAAGAUGCACCCUUGUGCACAAUAUGAGAUCAUUUGAACAAACUAUGCCAUGAAUGUGGCCAUAAGAUUGAUCAUUUGGCUUGAAAGUCAUGAAUCUUCACGCAUGAUGGCUCAUUUCUGAGUACACUUUUCUAAAAUACUUUCCGUAUUACAAGUUUAUUAUUUUUCCUGGAAACUUGGUUAUAUAUAAUGACACAAUGCGAAGGUUUUCCAAUUUUUUGAUUUUUUUGAAUUUUUUAUGCCCGUUUCAAAAUGCGGUCAAACGGCGGGCUUGACCGUUCCUAGCUAGUGGUUGAAUCUUGGAAAACUUUUGAUGUUUCUCUGAUUAAAUAGAUACUUAUGUACCUAGAAAUGAUUUUUGGAAAAAAUAAAGAGCAAAAUAAGAGGCACCUGCAGUUCAAAUUUGACCCGCUUCCAGCUAAAUCGGUGGAAAUUUGUCUUUUUCACCAGAGGUGGAUCAAAACUUUUUACACCAAACCAUUUGGUCAAUUGUUAUUAAAUAUGGCAUAGUUUUUUAUAAAUUUGAUUUGGUCCAAUUUUGCAACAAAUAUAUGGUAGGUCCUUCACAAAAAAAAACUCAUUUCGGCCACUCGGAAAAUGGAAAAUGAAUUUUCCGUGCAACAAAAUGAAAACUCCCUUAGGCAACAUUGUUUGCCAUUCCAAGAUGCACCCUUGUGCAAAAUAUGAGAUCAUUUGAACAAAAUCCCUUGAUUUGGUUCAAUUUUGCAACAUAGAUUUGUAGGCAUUUAUUUUUUUUCAGAAAUUUGGGUCCAAAUUUUGGAUAUUUGAGCGCGAGCCAGCCAACCAAUGAGAAGCGAGGAAUCACGUCCGCGCGGAUCACCAAGUUGGACACGAUCUGAGCCAUCCUUCACGCGCCCAUCCAAUGGUGGAUCUUCUCCAGCUGAAAGACCAAAACCCUAACCCACCUACCCACCCACCCUUUCCUUCUCCAGAUCCAAUCGAGGCUGCCGCGCCGUCCUCUCCCUUGUCGCGACCUAGUCUCCGCCACCGCCGCCAUCCCCACCCACCACCGCCGCCCCCACCCACCGCCGACCUCGUCUCCGCCAUCCCCCUCCCCUCGCCUUCAUCCGGCGUGCGUGCAUGCGUGCGUCCAACCGGCCCCAAAAAUGAAGACAAGAGGCUUGCUCCUCCUCGUCCCACCCAAUCGCCGCCGCCGCCGACCUCCUCCCUCUCCCCCAAUCCCAACCCCACCGGCGGCGAGCUCGUCUCCCCGAGGCCCAUCCUUUGCCCUCCACCCCACCGCUGGCGCCCUUAGUCUCUCCUUCAUCUCCCUACGCUCCAAAUCGGGGGGCCGCGGCCGUGCACCCAGAUCGAGAGGGGAGGCCGUGUCGCUCCUGCCGCGGCCGGAUCCAAGGCCAAGCCCGUGGGGUCCUGUUCGGGCUCCUCGCAGGGGCCACGGCGGCGGGAACCACAGCCACGGCGGGUCCGAACCCUAGCCGCCGCAGUGGGUCACUGGCACGACCCCCGCACCUCCGAUGGGCAACGACAGCAAGGGUCGCUCUACGCGGGCCUUCAUCAGCGCCAGCUUCACCACCGGGACCUGCAUCAGGGCAGGUAACCCCGCCAAUCCCCUUUCCUUGUGCUCUCUUGGUGAUGCAAAAUCCGAUUCUUCUUGGCCACUGAAACUCGAGCAGUUCUUCAGUUAGUCAGAAUGCACGCAUUAGAAACAACCUGAUUUUUAAAUUUAGAGCACACAUGUGGGCACUAGUUUGUGCGUAUCCCAGUAUCAGACCAUGAUUAGCACUAGGUGAAUUGUUCUCUUGGACUAUGGGUACUUCAUGUCUGCAGCAUGAAGGCUUUAUGACAUUUACCAGUUGCGCACCUACAAUUCUUCCCUUAGUAAUAUCGAUUUUGUUCUGUCUGUAGCAUGUCGUCUUCCUCCACGGGGGUCCUGGGCUGGCACUUUGCCCGGCAACUAUGGAUCUUCAAUCCGGAGUUCUACAGGAUCGUGUUGUUCGACCAGGUUGGUUUUGUUUUGAUCCCCUCAUGUGUCUAUUCACCGGUGUUCCUAGGAGACCGUGGUGCUUAAUCUGUGUGUGUUUGAUUGCAGAGAGGCACUGGAAGAGCACUCCCCAUGCUUGUUUAUAAGAGAACACCACCUGGGACUUGGUGGCUGACAUUGAGAAGGUCAGGCAGCACCUCGACAUUCCAGAGUGGCAGGCAACUGCAAAUACAUCUUCUUUUGUCGACUGCAACAUAUACCCAGCUGUAAAGAAACCACUUGAAAAAUAUAUUUAAGAGAGUCGGGCAGUUCGUGUAUAUUUUCUUGCAUUUGUGCAUAGCUAUUGAUCAUGAAUGUUGCAAUGCAAGUUAUUAAAAGAAUGAUGAUACCUCUUAAUGCCUUGUAUUUUCAGAAACUAGCUAGCUAGUCAAGCAUUUCUUUUUAAGUUUGAUACUAGUGUUAUUGUUGGAGAUAUAUAGUGGAAAACAACAUCCACAGUGGUAUAGAUUGUUCCAGUCCAUGAUAUGCUUAUUAUUGAAUUAGCUGGUCCUAAAGAAUGUUCCGCCUAAGCUUUGCUUAGUGGCUGGUCCCAUAUCCUGAAAAUUGCAAUGCAGGUGAAAAGAUUAAAUACCUCUUCAUGCUUGCAACGGUUUAUGCUGAAUUGUUUUUUUUGUAAUCUAUCUUGCUAUACUGGUUCCAAGUGCUUGAGUAGCAUCUCUAAGAUAACUCACUUGUGGUUAAUUAGUGGCUCUAUCAUUUGUGUUUGUGCAUUCUUUUUUCCUGGGCAUCAUCCAUGGUUGUCUAGUAGUCGACAUACUUCUGGUUCCAUUUAGUAUAUGAAGGUAGCAGCAGCUUAAGUUUAGUGGAGUUGUUGUUACUCAAUGCCUACUUCGUAACUUGUCUUUUUUGAAACAGAUUGCUUGCACCUCGUCGUGUGUAAUUAUUCGGUGUACGAGACCUACGGUAUAUACUCACCAGUACUAUCUACUGUGAUUGAGUAUUUAUUGCUGGUGCUUCGACUGCACUUCUAUAGUGAUACAUUCUGUACUACACUGCUAAUGCUUAUCCGAGUUCAUUGUUUUAUUUCCAUGGUAACUAAAUGUUGACAUAUUAGCUAAUUGUGUACCUAAAUAUGACCCAGGUACAGCGGCGCUGUUGGUUCCUUGAGGCCAGGUCGAGUUGAGGUAGGGGAUAGGAAGGUUGAGCCGCUCGGGUGCUGAUCAUGUACAACGCUGCUCUUUUCAGCAUCGACCCGACCAAACCAAUGAUGCAAGGCUUCUCCUGCUACUGCAGAUUACUUCUUCCACUAAUCACCUAGUGCUCCUAUUAGUGAGAUUCAUCUAGUAUUUUUUUUGCACAGCAUGCAAUGGUUUGGAGUAGUUGAUCAUGGCCUGAUGGAACCUUUAUGUCGCUAGCAUGUAUAUAUGUAGUACUACAGCAGCCAUAAGUAAUCCAUUUUAUUAAACGCAUUUUGCUAGCUUGUCCUCCCUAUCCCAAAUUCGUUGAUGCCAAAAUUAGCAAGCCAUUUUGCUCUGUUUCUCAAAUAUUUGCCAGCUGAUCCGCCUCAUGGUCUCUGCUUCAUUCUGUCUAUUAACUGGUCUUCUUGAUAUUUAGCAACCUUGAUGCCUCAUAUAACUACUUGUUGAACUAGAGAAUUGAUUUGACCACUUGAUCAAUGGUUUUCAUAACAGUCAAGUUUCAGCGUGUUUCCAGUUUGCACCCUUAGUCGUAGCUGACACUGAGAAGAUGUGUAUUUUUCUUCGUGUUGGCAUGCAAGUUGCACCUAACAUAUGGAAUACUUUGGAGCACUGCUUACUAAAUUAGUUGCUUGCAUGAUGCAUCAUAUCCAACUUCCCCAUGAAGUAUUCUGUUAUAGUAAUUCAGUUUUCUUCAUGCAUCUAUCUACUGGACGCAUCUACCACCGUGCAUGGUGGUUGCCUGUGUUGCUGGUUGUAAUGCUCGUUGCCACAAGUCUGGCGAACUGGUGAUAGCAUGUCUGCGUAGGCACAAGUUUUUUGUUUUUUGAGGGGUCGUACGCACAAGUUUAACUUGGAAAAAUGCUUGCUACUGCAGACAGUGACUGUUACGACUAUGCACAAGUUUAAUCUGGCUAGUUCAGUUGGUAUCUAGUCUAGAAUAAAUUAUUUUUCCCAUUUUUUGUUUCCUUGCUGGACAUGUCAUGGUACAAGUGCUGAUGCUGUUGUUUACUACACCCGCCGUAAAGAAAUAUAAGACCGUUUAGAUCACUACUUUAGUGAUCUAAAUUCUCUUAUAUUUCUUUACAAGAGAGGACAUGGUAUUAUUGCUAGCUAUAUAUAUGCCUGCUGCUGAUUGAUGCUCUUGUGGUUAGGAUUCUACACCUCGAAGUGAUGCUUUUGCAUUGCUUUCCUUCCUCAUGCACUUGCAAACUAUAUGCUAUUCCCUUUUUGAUUUGACCUCAAAAUUUCUGACUCCUCCUAUCCAUGUGCAACAGCGAUGCUUUGGAUUUCAUCCGUGCAGCAGAGGACAAGGGCUUCAUGGCCAACCAAGGUGCAUGGUGCUCACAAUCGACGAACGGAGGUUGUUCGACAUUGGCUACACAAACCACCACUGUGAGCUCCUCCCAUUGCUAUGCUACAACCAUGCUCUGUUUCAUGGGUCAGUUAGGAUUUUGAUGCUUUUAGCGCCGUGGUUGAGUCCUUGCUGACUGUUGUGUCGAUGAUCAAUUGCUGGUGCUUCAUAUGGCUAUUUGAUUUGCUGCUGCUAAUUAGUAGUAUUAGAGUGCCGCUGGUUUAUUAGGAUGUGGCUGAAACCAUUGGAUGGCCUUCCUGGACAUGUUAUCCAGAAUUAGUACUUGUCCCAUUUUCUGUUUACUUGCUGGACAUGCUAUGGUUCAAGUGUCGAUGAUGUCUAGUAGUAGUUUGCUAGCUAUAUACCUACUACUGAUUGAUGCUCUUUUGGUCUCCUGAUUGAUGCUCUUUUAGUCUCCUGGAAUCAUAUUAUACUAUAUCUAGUGUUCUUGUGGUUCUGUGAAGAUGCAUCACAAACAUCUAGGUCUUUAAAGUUGACUAAAUCUAUCGCUUUAUCAUAUAUUUGGCCCGUAAAUCUACAUUUCUAUGAGAUCUCUUUCAAUAUAUAAUUUUUUGAUAGUCCAGGAAUAAUCUAAUAAUCUAAUGCUGGUAGUUUAUGUGUUCACUCUUUUACAGGAGCUCCAGGUCUAUGGAAUUUGAAGUUUGAAGCCGUAUAGCACUACUCAGCAAAGAGUUGUCUCUAUGUUUGACUGUAAUAGACUGUAAAUAAUGUAAUAUUGUAAUAGUAGGCAUAUUGGGGUUGUAAUAGACUAUCUACAGAUUGUAGUAGACGUAGUGUUACUUGAUGAACAAUCUGAUGAGUGAGAACAAUUUAAGAUGCACCUUUGUAAUAUUGUAACAGGUUGUAAAAGACUAGUGUAUGUUUGAAAUAGUGAUUAUGUAUGUUGAAAAGAUGUGAAAUGGAAACUUGACCAGUGGGAACCACUUGUGAAUAAAAUCUAAGCAUUUUUGAAAUUUCUGACAUGUGGGACCGAUGUAUGGCAUUAUGACUAGUGGGACCAGUGCUAAAAUAUAAUGAUUGAAAAUAGAAAAUAAAUGAUUGUAAGAAGGCCAAGGCCCAAAAAUAAAGGCGCUGAAAUAUUGUGCUUGGCCCAUGUAGCCCACAAGAAUUGACUUGGAAAAAAUCUAGAAUUGUUGGGCUCGACCCAUGUAGAAAACCGAAUUGGACCGGGCUGAAUCUUGUGCCACAUCAGCUUGCCAUGCUGGAUGCCUACGUGGACUGGGGAGGCUGCUAGUGACCAAAACGCCACAGUAGGAAUAUUUUGGUCAUAAACAUCCACGACCUUCUCACAGAGAAGGUCGCUAUAGUCAGUUUAUGACCCUCAGCUUUUGACCUUCUGUUUUUGGUCACAAAAAGGUCGCAAAUGAAAAACUAUGACCUUUCAGUGACCAAUAGUGGAGGUCACAAGAUAGCAUAUUUCUUGUAGUGUGGGGAAAGUAGUGGGAAACGUUGUAUAGCAUGAAUCUAGGACGUGGUCCAAAGAGGAAAGGAAGGGGGAAAGUAGUAUCGCAUGAAUCUAAGACAUGGUUCAAAGAGGAAAGUAAUGGGGGAAAGUAGUGGGGAAAGUUGUAUAGUAUAAAUCUAGGACGUGGUUCAAAGAGGAAAGGAAGGGGGGAAGUACUACUACAAACUGGCUAUCCAGCACCUAUGUUGGUCGAAAAGGGAAAACAAUGACAAACGUAGUACACACAUCUGUAACGAACUGAUCUUUUGUUUUGGGGGAAAAGGUUGUAGAGUUUGAGUAGGACUAGAUUUGCUGCGCUCACAUAGUGAAAGGUGUCUAAAGAUAACAAAACUGGGACCAACACAGAUAUGCUCCUUGCUUGUUUGUUCUUUGUUGCAACGGACUGUGCAUCACCCCAGUACAUCGGUAGAUGCACAUGGUGCUAGUGCGUCCAUUGUCCCGUGCAACUCUUUAGCUGUUGUUAAUCUAAGGCCCUAUUUGGUUAAAAACUCCCUAGUCCCUACCUGCUUGGUUCUAGGGACUAAACAUGGACUAGAGGUUAUUAAAUGACAUGCUAAAAGACCAUGUUACCCCUAGUAAUGAACUAAUAUAGACAAGGUGCGAUGCGUGGCAGGGGCAACUAUUGGAAAAAGUCCCAAAAAGACUCUCCCUCGGGGUCUUCUUUCUUUAGUCCCAAAUGCCCACUUUUAGUCCCUAAAAGUCUGUCCUGUUUGGUUUAGAUGGGACUGACACAGAGUUUUUUUAGUCCCUACACCAAAAUGUCCCCGUAAACAAACACCCUCUAAUAAUGCCGCUAGAAAAUUGAUGCAAUGCCACAGUUAAAAGCAAAUUACAUGUUUAACGAAUUUUAUUGUUCAUAUAAUCUCUAUGUUAAUAUUAAUCAAUGCCACCGUUUGAGAAAUGCUCCUGUCUUGCUUUCUUUCCCAUUUAGAUAAGGUAGAUGCUUCUUUUUGUUGGCUUCUGUGUCAUCCACCGUUAUUGACCACUAGUUGUUUCCUUUGCACCUCUGUGUAAACAGGGUUAUCUACUUCACCUCGUUGCCAUUGUGACCUUUUAUUGCACUGCACAAUACACUUUUGUUUUAAGAAUGUUUUGUGCAGUUUAACCAAAAUGUCACACCGACAACGUUGCUUCAUUGCUUGAUCUUAGUGGAACUGCACAAGAGGAGAUCUUACUUCCUAUCCGUGUUGGCAAAUUUGGUUCAGAUCUUCUUCUUGUGAGUUGUUUGAAUUCUGCAUCAUGAGAGGUCAGUACUAGCCUUCUUUCACAUGAUUCUAUAGUGUGCUUUCAUAUGUUGUGCUACUUGUACGGUAAUGUUGCUUGAUUUUAGUGAACUGCACAAAUGGAGACAAGACUUCCAAUCUGUAUGUGCACCGUAAUAUCCCAUUGAGGUAAGAUAAGGAUAUUUCACAACUGUUGGCUUGUAUUUUGCCACUUUCAUCAGAAAAUUAAUGUCAUUGUUUAGUGUUAUACUUGUGAUCCCUAAUUGACAUGCCAAAUCUUACAUUGAAGGCGAAGCUUGUCUGUUAUUGAACCAAGUGAUGAAGGGGAAGAACAAGCGGAAGAAAAACAAAAAUCAACUCCCGGUGCUGUAAUGAAGCACUAGAACUGUGAUGACACAAGUAAUGAUAUAGUUUUGCAUCUUAAUUUAUUGCUAUGGCUGGAAUGAGCAAUUGUUUUGCCACUGAUUUGAUGCCACUCUUAAUUAUGUAAUAUGUAAUUGUCUCUACUUGUGCAAGCAGGGAUCUUCUUUGAAGAUACCAUAUAUUUUAGUGGAACUUCACAAGAAAAUGUUGGAAACAUUAAACUAAUCGAGGAGUAUAUUGUAAGCAUGGCCACCACAGUAGAUUGCAACAGAUGGUUCCGGAGAAGUGCUUCAUCUGUAUGCUCUACACAAUAAGCCUCCUGACAAAGGUUGGUACUCGCCCACUGAUUUCAUCCAUAUGAUUGAGCUUUGUCAUCUCUAUUGGUGUUGUGCUACUGUUUAGAUACUGUCAUGAAAAAGUGGUAUUGUCCUUGAGAAGUGCUUCAUCUAUGCUGUUUUAAAUAUUUCCUUUCCUUUUUUUCGAGCAAACAGGGAUGCUAGCAUUUAGUUGUCCUCUUGUCUUUGCACAAUAGGAUCCUCCUCCUCUGAAGAAGAAUAUGGAGUACGUGAAGUGACUAGUUCCGAUUAUUCCAGGAUGAAGAAGCCCUGUCUAUCUUCACAUUAGAAGGAGCAGUUGAAGGAUGGUUACAUUACUUCCCACAAGACCAAACUAGCUUCAGCUCAGAAGGACUCACAAAUCUCCAUUGUCUUGCUGUGAUGCGCGAGUACAAUGUUGUUCUAGGAUUCUUUCCGGUGAGUUCCAUUUUUCUAAAAGUGUGCUCUACAUGGACCAUGUAGGUGCCUGUUUAAACUGUCAAUUCAUAGUACAAUUUUCUUUAUACUAAUCACUUUUUUUGUAUUUGUGCAAACAGGGGUGCUCAGCUUGAUUUCAAUGGGAACUGCACAAAAUGUUCAUGAAUACAUUGAAUCAUUCAUUUCCACCACAAGAAAGGAGGUGCCGAUAAGUUCAAGGUGUUGCAACAUAAAAGGGCGAAAUCAUACAAACUACGCGCGAAUUUUGUUGAUUUUGGUGGAACUGCACAAAAAGAACAGUUGGUUUAUUUAGCACGAGGUGCCAUGUCAAUGUCCGAACUGAUGGCAAACCCUUCCCAUUCCACAAUCGUAGGCAUUUGAUAUUUUGGAAUGGGACAACCUUGUCAAAUUUUGCUCAUUGGUUUUAGCAAGAAGACAUGUGUUUGAUAUUUUCGAAUAGGAUGCCCUUUGCUGUUAGCAGCGUCGAUCAAUUUUUUUAUUUAUUCUUUAGUUGUGAAGUAAAUAUUAGCUCUGACAUGUGCAUCGCUGAGAUGCAUAAUCAUUGAUUGUGUUGAAUGUUCUCUAUGAAUUGCCAGGCCUGUGUGUUUGAUUGCAAUAUACAGAAACGCUAAAAAGCUGCUCAAACUCUUUGUACUCCUUCUGUUCCUUUUUACUUUGCACAUUGUGAAGUGCAUACUUUUUUUAUAAGAUUGGUCAAAGUAGAGAUACUUUGACUACAGACAAAACUUGUAUCCAGACUAGAAAGGACCGGAGGGAGUACAUGUGAAACUGCUACAAACGAGGUGAUCACCCUGGGAAUAAUGCUAGUACGUAUUGUUUUGCAUGUUCAUCCAAUGCCAGUGAUACAAGAAUUCGAACUAAUCGAAAUAAAUUCAUUCAUACAUGGUCGGAUUUCAUAUAAACAUGCCAGAUUUCAUUACAUUUCAUACAUUCCUCAACUAAAAAGGGGUGCGCUGGAGGUAUAAUUAAUUAACCAAAGCUAACCACCUGUGUCCAGAUGAGCCGAACAGAAGCUUUAGUGACUUAACUGCAGGUAUAGUUGCGUAAUUGACAUGUGGCCUGUUGGGCCCAUGUGUCAGUCAGCCAACUGCACCAACAGUUAAGUAGAAGUAGCGUCCUUCUCCAACACAGCUCUUUGACUCCACGUCGCCGCCAAGAAGCUAACCGGUCGUCAAUGGUCAACCCGCCUAGCUUGGCUUCAACCGGAGGGUAGCAGCGGUGGCCUUACUUGGACCCGAGCGGCGACGACCUGCCGUGUUCUACUCUUCCUCGUUUUCUGUGUGGCGCGGCCUCGUUGGCAGUGGGGCGGGGCCUCGGUGGAGCUGGCGAUGUCCUUUGUCUCGUUGCAGGCGGGCGGUGCCUCGGCGGAGCGGUGGAAAUCCUCCCCCUUGUUGCUGGCAGGGUGGGGCCUCGGCUGAGCCGGCGAUGUCCUCUGCAUCGUUGUUGGCGGGGCGGGGCCUCGGUGGAGCCGGCGGUGUCCUCUGCCUCAUUGUUGGCAUCGUGGGGCCUCGGUGGAGCAGGGCCUCGUCAACGCCAGCGGAGCGAGGACUCGUCGGAGCCAGCAUUGUCCUCUGCCUCGUCCUCGGUCUCGCCAAACAGCGCCUCGCCCGCUUCAUCGCCCUCUUUGUAGGCGGCCGCAGGCUCUGCCACCCCCAUGCGGUACCGCCAGCGCUCGAGGUGGCCUUCGCGGGCGGAUCGGUACGAGUCGCGCAUCGCCUCCUGCUCCGCCCGCUCCGCGGUGAUCUGAUCCUCCGCCUGUAGGUGCUCCUGGAGGAGAUGGUGGUUGUAGGCGGCGUCGGCCUGCGCCUCCCGGAACUGCUCCUCACGCUUCUACCUCACCGUGUCCAUAUAUUGGGCACGGGCCAUGCCGAUGGUCAUGGUGCAAUGCACCGGCGAGGAUGGCGCGGAGGAGGGGGUUGGCACAAGAUCGUCGACUACCAUGUUCUCCAUUGGGACGUCGUCGUCCUCCGGCUGCCUGCCGGCCAGCCAGUCGGCAGCAAUGGCUGCCAUCUCCUUGUGGUCCGUCGUCCGCCCGUCCCGAAGAGCACUGGAGCGCGAGGAAGCCAUGGUGGGCAGUAGUGGUGUUGACAGGAGAAAGGGAAUUGACUGCGGCUACGGCCGACGCAACAGUUUAUAUAGCAAUGGUGGGUGACGAAGGGACGGACAUGUGGCGCUGGAGUAGCCACCUCGGCAACCGCGUAUCAUUAAUGUGGGCGGCAAACGGACGGACAGACGACACUUGUGUCGUUUGAAGGCGGAGCAAUCGCCAGCAUUGGGGAGCGGUGUGGACGACGCUGACCGUUUCGGGCAGAAAGCGCACACAGGCGAGGAGAAGACUUUACUUGGAGAGGAUGACAGUGGGGACAAACCAGGGACAUAGCCUCACGUAUGCAAGUGCCUCCUUAUUAUAUAAAACUAUAAUUUUUUUCCUUCCUCCUGGUUUCCUGAUAUCACGGUUCCACACCAUUGUCAACCUAUGUAGUCAAUAAAUGAGAGAAUUGCACAAGAAGCGGCCAACAGCUGGGACCAAGCAGCUCAAGCAGUAUUUGUGUUUUUGAGGUGUGAGAACUGUAGAGUUUUUAUUGAGCGAUGUUUAUCCAAGAUAUUAAUUUUUCUCCUCUGAACAACAUCAAAAACAUCACUGCAUGUAUUAACUGGGUGGGUUGUGGCCCGUCUAGCCCAGGCCAGAUAUCCAGCCUAGAUAUUAUUUUUUUCAAGCUGAAAAUGGCUAGCCCAUCUAUACUUUCUUUAGGAAUACCCCGGCAAGGUCAAGUUGUUAUUCUCGGCCCCGCUGGGCUGCAAAUCUUUCGUAGGAGGGAUGCAUUAGGCUUAACAAGAAAAUGGGCUUUAAGAAAUAAUAAAUGGUAUGUAAUUAUAAAAACUGGGCAGUAACUAUAAAAAAUUGCACCAAACACGUAAUUACUUUAUAAAAUAUUAUUUUUAGAUAUUGAAAAUUUUAAUUUCAUUAAUUGUUGCGAGCGCAAGGUUUCGUUGGAUUUUUACAUAAUAUAAAUUUAUAUUGAAAUUGUAUUUAAUCUUACUAUAAAUUUCGGGAUAAAAAUAUUCCGGAUCCCAUCAAAACAAACUGUAAAUGGGCUGUAGUAAAUUCCAUUAGAAUUCAAAACGGGGCUGCACAUUCUUACAAAUCUCAAAUGGGCUAUAAGUUCUCUGCCACACACUUGUGGCCUUACGAAGUUGACGCGUCCCUUCGAAAAAAAGAGUUGAUGCGUAUGCAAGGCUUUGUCAACUUAUAGGCAACACAAGGUUCUAGCAGCAGUGGCCGUUGGAUAUCCAUCCAACCGAUGCCCUACUUCUUCUUCAAUCUUAGAUAUUCUAGCUUCACCCGCCCAAAAAAUGAUUCCUCCCCCUGACAUCUGGGGUGCACCGUUUCAGAAGCUGACUUGUGGGCCUACUAAGUUGACGCGUACUAAGGGCUUUGUCAACUUAGUCAAUAUAAACGAUUCUAGCUACACUGACCGUACGAUGUCCAUCCAACGGCUGUCGUGCUUCUUCAACCUCCGGUCUUCUUGCUCCAGCCGCCCAAAGCAGCGCUGGUCGUGUCGCCUGCUCCUGCCUCCCGUGGUCGGUUGUGCUGAUGCGGAGGCCUCACCGCCCCGUACUACUCCUACCGCUAGCCAGGCCAUCCCUCCACUCACCCGCACCCCCUGUUAUUCUGCGGCGACGGCAGCCUCACACCGCAGCCGAACCAGUGAACCCUCAUACUCCUCUCCGCAUGGGCAUCCACUGUCGCGUCUUCUCCGGCUCUGCGUCGUCCCCUUCCUAGGCCUCACCGUCGUCCACCACCGUGGUGCUCUCGAUGCGGCGUGGUCAACGUGGUCAGGGAACGACUUCCAUCAGACGUGGACUGUACCUGGAGAGGCUGACAGCUGAGUCCACGGCCACAGCAAGGAAGUGCCUCCUUAUUACGCAGGAAAUAAUGAUUCUUCCACCUGACAGCAGGGACCCACCGGACGGGCCAUUGAAUUUCACGAAAAAAAUGUUUCCACCCUGACUGCUGGGACCUACCAGCUACAUCUUCACACACAAGGAAGUGCGUCCGGGUAAAAAAAACGAUUCACCCCCCUGACAGCCGGGACCCACCAGCUACAUCUUUGCACGCAAGGAAGUGCGUGACAGUCGGGACCCACCUGGUCAAAGCGUACGUAGCAUUGUCAUUAUGGUCGUGAACAUGUACGUACAUACUGGUCAAUGUAGAGGCGUGCAUGUGUCGUAGUAGAGGCGCGCACGUGUCGUAGUAGAGGCGCGCACGUAGCAUGUACACAUACUACGUACAAUUGCCAGGGUGCAAGAAAGUAAAUACGGCCAUGUACAUACAUACGGGUGGGGUCUCGAACGCCUACUCGCGCAUACGUACGGCCAGGGCUCGUGUACAUGGCUGGGUCAGAACGGAGAAACAGCGUCGUCGUCGUGUUCAUGGGGAGCCAACCGGCUGGGUCGGAGCGGAAUGCGUCGUCGUGUUCAUCGGGAGGGCUUGGAAGGAACAGGCAAUGGAAACGAGGUCUGGCGUACCGUAGAACGGAGGAAACGGCCUUGUGUUCGACCGACCAUGUUCAAAACGGGAUCCUGUUCAUCGGGAGGGGUCUGGCGUACCGCAAAAUGGAGGAAACAGACUUGUGUUGGACCUCCUACGGUCGAAACGGGAUCCUAUUGAUCGGGAGGGGUGUGGCGUACCGCAAACCGGAGGAAACGGACUUGUGUUGGAGCGCUACGGUCGAAACGGGGGUCCUGUUCAUCGGGAGGGGUGCCGCAUACCGCAAAACAGGACUCCACGGGAUACUGUUCAUCUCCACCGUCGACCUCCUCCAGCCUCCACGGUCUAAUGUUCAUCCACCGUCGACCUCCUCCAGCCUCCACAUGCGACUGUUCAUCCACGGGCUCCUGUUCAUCCAGCCUCCACCGCAUGCUACUCCACCGGCUACUGUUCAAUCACCCAUCUCCACGGGCUCCUGUUCAACCACCCCUCCACGGGCUACUGUUCAUCCACCCCUCCACCGUCUACUGUUCAUCCAGCCCUCCACGGNNNNNNNNNNNNNNNNNNNNNNNNNNNNNNNNNNNNNNNNNNNNNNNNNNNNNNNNNNNNNNNNNNNNNNNNNNNNNNNNNNNNNNNNNNNNNNNNNNNNNNNNNNNNNNNNNNNNNNNNNNNNNNNNNNNNNNNNNNNNNNNNNNNNNNNNNNNNNNNNNNNNNNNNNNNNNNNNNNNNNNNNNNNNNNNNNNNNNNNNNNNNNNNNNNNNNNNNNNNNNNNNNNNNNNNNNNNNNNNNNNNNNNNNNNNNNNNNNNNNNNNNNNNNNNNNNNNNNNNNNNNNNNNNNNNNNNNNNNNNNNNNNNNNNNNNNNNNNNNNNNNNNNNNNNNNNNNNNNNNNNNNNNNNNNNNNNNNNNNNNNNNNNNNNNNNNNNNNNNNNNNNNNNNNNNNNNNNNNNNNNNNNNNNNNNNNNNNNNNNNNNNNNNNNNNNNNNNNNNNNNNNNNNNNNNNNNNNNNNNNNNNNNNNNNNNNNNNNAGCAGCAGUAGCAAAGGAAUUGCUCGAUCGGGUUCAGUUAACAGCCAUUGAUCGAUCGCUCGGGUUCAGUAACGCGUAGCCUGCAGUUGCAAUCGCUCGAGUUCAGUUAGAGCCCAACGCCUCCCUCGGGUUCAGUUAGAGCCAACGCCUCGCACACACGCGCGUACAUGUACGAGAGAAACGCGCACCUCUCGGCCACCGACCACCCACCGUAACCGGGAACUCCCCGAUAUUUUCCUCGCCCUCGCUUCUACCAUGUUUUUUUCCGUCAUGGACGGCCUAAAGAAUGUCAUGCAGCUGCGUCUCCGGCCCGCCCAGCAUGAAAAGCCCAUUUUCUGUCAUGAAUAUCUGUCAUAGAAGUAGGAGCCCACCACAUCUAUGAUGAUACCGGAUUUUGUCACAAUUAUCGUCAUAGAAGUGUCAUAAGUAUGACAGGAAAAAAAUUCGUUCGGCCCAAAAUGUCACGGAUGUGUCUUUUUUUGUAGUGAAGGAUGCUGCAGCCCUCCCACCCUCCCUCUAUUUAUAGGGUGAAGGGGAGAGGGGGCCGGCCCCUCUAGAUCCCAUCUAGAGGGGGAGGGGGCCAGGAGGGGGAAACUUGCCCCCCAAGCAAGGUGGAGGCGGCCCCUCCCCUAGGGUUUCCAAACCAUAGGCGCCUUGGGCCCUUGGGGGGCGCACCAGCCCACUAGGGGGCUGGUUCCCUCCCAUAUUCAGCCCAUUAAGUCCCCCGGGGCAGGUGGCCCCGCCCGGUGGACCUCCGGACACCUUUCGGUGGUCCCGAUACAAUACCGAUAACCCCCGAAACCAUUCCGGCGACUGAAACUGGACUUCCCAUAUAUAAAUCUUCACCUUCGGACCAUUCCGGAACUCCUCGUGACGUCUGGGAUCUCAUCCGGGACUCCAAAAAACCUUCAGUAACCACAUACAAUUUCCCAUAACAACUCUAGUGUCAUCGAACCUUAAGUGUGUAGACUCUACGGGUUCGGGAAUCAUGCAGACAUGACCGAGACGUUCUCCAGCCAAUAACCAACAGCGGGAUCUGGAUACCCAUGUUGGCUCCCACAUGUUCCAUGAUGAUCUCAUCGGAUGAAGCAGGAUGUUGGGGAUUUAAUCAAUCCCGUAUACAAUUCCCUUUUGUCCACUGGUAUGUUACUUGUCUGAGAUUCGAUCGUCGGUAUCCCAAUACCUCGUUCAAUCUCGUUACCGGCAAGUCUCUUUACUCGUUCCGUAACGCAUGAUCCCGUGACUAACUCCUUAGUCACAUUGAGCUCAUUAUGAUGAUGCAUUACCGAGUGGGCCCAGAGAUACCUCUCAGUCAUACGGAGUGACAAAUCCCAGUCUCGAUUCGUACCAACCCAACAGAAACUUUCGGAGAUACCUGUAGUGCACCUUUAUGCCACCCAGUUAUGUUGUGACGUUUGGUACACCCAAAGCAUUCCUACGGUAUCCGAGAGUUGCACAAUCUCAUGGUCUAAGGAAAUGAUACUUGACAUUAGAAAAGCUCUUAGCAAACAAACUACACGAUCUUGUGCUAUGCUUAGGAUUGGGUCUUGUCCAUAACAUCAUUCUCCUAAUGAUGUGAUCCCGUUAUUAAUGACAUCCAAUGUCCAUGGACAUGAAAGAGAAAAGUAUACUUCCAACAGAUCUUGCCAACGCAGUAUUAGAAAAAGAUUCCACGGUCUACAUAAAUCCCACAUCUAAGGGCUAAAUAAGCCUAGACGUGGGGGCAGGGGUGUUGAAAUAUAUUGCUCGCUUUUCUCCACCAGUUCAGACUUCUGGAUGACUUGGCUGGAGCAUGAAUUUAAUAGUUGCCGCAUCGGUGGCAAUAAGAGUAGGAGGAGGGAGGGAGGAGGUGGUGGAGAGCCCAAGAGGUCCUCACCACUGCCAUUUGUGUUGUGAUUUGAGUGCAUCAUCUGUUAACUUCAUUGAAUUUGAUUUGUAGUAGGGCUCUUUGUGAUUACUGACUAAGCAGGAUAACUAAUUGAUGGUACUAGACAGGGAUUUUUCUAAGAAAUUUCCAAGUGUCAAUAGUCAACAAUUUACUGCCAUCGUCCAAAUGCUACGCCCACUAGCAAUGUAUUGUUGCCAAAAACUGUGUGAUAGAGAUGGACUUGCUUUCUACGGAUUCUUGACACCAGGGUCCUCCAUCGUGAACACGCCGCCGUGAUGGAAUGAGGCCACAUACAGCGAACCGAGGGCUUUAAGGCGGCGUCUUCAGAAAGGUUACGACAUCAGAGCGCCGCCACCGUCUGACCCGAGGGUCAGAGUUUCCCCUGAAGCAACACGACGGGCAAUUAGAGCCAAGACGACACCUUCAAAAAGGGAACGAUGUUCGUCGCCCUCGGCCGUCCAAAAAUAGAUCAGGUUUUCACCCCGGCCAACACUCACCGCCACCGAGCGCCGCACCUCGGCGACCAUGCCGCCCACACGGCCAUGGCCACCGGGCAGCACCAAGCCGCGGGCUCUGCCCAAGAGCACCGCGGUACCACCACCAGGGUCGUCGCCCCGGCAACCAAGACCUUGACACCACCUUGCCCGAGCCUAGCCGCUAUCCCCACCAAAGAUACGAGCGGACGCCGCAUCUCUAGGCGGGCCCCAGUGCCGGGACCAAAUAAGCCGGCCAAAACUGGCAUCCAUCAACCCGUCCUGCCGCACCGGGGCGCGAGACAAAUUCGGUCCUGCUACUGGGCGUGAGACAAGCUCCGUGUGUAGCCAAAAAUUGUGUGAUUACGAGAAACCGUGUGCUACAGCAGUGGAAUCUUUUCUACUUGCAGACCUUUCCGUUCAAUAAUGUUGAUUGUGAUAGCUUUCGUUGUAAACUUUGCUGCUAGAUUACGUAGCUCCAUUCCUUCCUCAUAUACUCCUUGUUGCUACAGGCACAUCUGGAUACCUGAGCUGGAGGCUUGGAUGCCUUGCUGAUUGGCCUAUUAUACUGUCAACUAUGGUUGCCAAGAUGCACCUCACGCCAAAACAAGACGUCGCCGCUGCUCAAAGUUUGGCCACCAAAAAGUCAAUAAUUUUCUCGAAACCUUUUGACAUCAUUGGUACAAGACCCGUCUGCGAUGGAGGAACAUAUUUCAAACCCAAAUUCAGCAACGCGUGGAUUGAACUCAGAUCUCGAACUUGGUGGCGUGGUAGAUGUAUAUUGCAUUGAAAUGUGAUGUUGUGAAUAUUUUGCAGACUUUUUUUGUGACUCUCUGAUAACCCGGUUAUUCGUCUUGUGUGAAUUGUAAUUGUGAGCGUCUGAUUAAUUGGUAGCACUAGUUUGAUGUACAAUUUUUCUGCUGAGUGUCACUUUAUCUUGCACAACCUCUUACAGGAGUCGUGGCUUUGCUCAUUCCUUCUGGCACUGUAUUUCAUUGUAAUUGUUUUGCUCACUUGUGUGUGAGUAAACAACAGAAUGCUUGGCUUAACUAGACACCGGAUUUCCAUUGUAAAUUUUUCUGGUCUAAAUUUAUCUUUUCAAAUGGUGCGCGACAUGGAGCACCUCUUUGGGGACGUGCCGUGAGGAAUCGUGUAUUAGCUUAGAUUGCUAGAGUAGGAAGUCCCUAUGCUGGCUGUAUUUCUCAAAUUCUUUCACCCCUGAUCACCAUCAACACUUGUUUUCUGCCUUCUAUCUGCUAAUGAAAUGAGUGUCAGCACAAGCUGGAUCUUUCAAAAGAAAAGAAAAUGGCGCGCGACUACAUAUCCUUCAGGCCGACCAGAUUCCAAGGGGGCGAAAGUUGCAUUUUGAACACACUGAGCGCAGACUCCCAGCAAAAAGUGUAAAUACUGAGUGCAGACCCCAUCAUAAGACUGCCCGCAGCGGGGUGCUUCCAAUGGGGUGGGGCUCAACGUUAAGGGCAUGUACAAUUAUGCUAUCUUAGGAGCGGGCAUGUAGGAUAAAUGUUAAGGUAGAGGAAAGAGUAAUCAUAAUAAAAGUCUUGUCUUCUCUUAUUUCAAAGAUGAUCUUUUAGCACAAUAUAUGUUUCAUCAUAUUUUUACGAAUAACUAAUUAUUGAAGAUAUGGCUAAGAGAUAGCCCAUUGUAGCACCAUCUUUAAAUUACAUGCAAAGCGUAAGAUAAGAAUGUCUUAUCAAUCACUGUACAUGCUCUAACAAACCGAGCAGAAAAAAGAAAACAAAAGGCAAACUCUUCCUAUCCAUCGUCCGAUGGGGAGGAUCAUUCAGUACGAGUCCACGUUUAUUUUGUUUCCUUGGCCAGUUGGAUGCAAGAGAUCAAUCAUCGUACGGUAUACAUACAUAUCUCCGAUCGGGCCUAAGAAAUCCAACAUUGCUUUUACGGUACGGUACGUCUUCGAUCUCCGUUCCUCGUACGUCCCGCCGCCAUGAGCGAGAGCGAGGGCAGCUCGACGGCCUCCGUGAUGGACGACGAGGACCUCCUGUGGGAGAUCCUCCUCCGCCUCCCGCCACAACCGUCUUCCCUCCCGCGCGCCUCCGCGGUCUGCAAGCGAUGGCGGCGCAUGGCCACAGACCCCAGCUUCCUCCGCAGCUUCUACACACACCACAAGAAACCGCCCCUCCUAGGCUUCUUUGAGUACCACCGUGACAAUAUUGUGUUCACCUCCAUCCUCGAUGCUCCUGAUCGCAUCCCUCGUGAGCGUUUUAACAUCGGACGCUGCAUCACCUCCUCAGAGAGCUAUGUACUUGGCUGCCGCCACGGUCGCGUCCUCGUGAUUGAUCAUGUGCGCACAGAGCUCAUUGUGUGCACCCCUAUCACUGGCGAGCAGCGGCGCUUGGCCGUUCCUCCCGAGUUUAAAACAGUCCUCCGUACUUGCAUCAACGGGGCGGUUCUCUGCGCUGCUAACGACCAGGGCCAUGUGCACGGCGGCUGUCACUCCAGCCCCUUUAAGGUGGUCUUGGUGAUCAUGUAUAGAGACGAACGUCAAGCCCUCGCAUGUGUCUACUCCUCGGAUACCAAUGCAUGGGGCAACCUCAUCUCAACAGCUGCCCCAUGUCGGCUUUUUAAUGCCCAUAGACCUGGGUCACUUAUUGGUAAUGCAUUCUACUGGUUGACUAUGAGGAAUGACAUGCUUGUGUUUGAUUUGGUAGAGCAAAGUCUAGCUGUGCUUAGUGGGCCACCGGUUAAAAAUCUUUUCGUCCAUAGUCAGGUCAUCCAAGUUGAGGAUGGUGUUGUUGGCUUUGUCGUAUUAUCUUAUCCACAGUUUCAAAUAUGGCAGAGGAAACUCAAUGAUCAUGGUGUUGCCACAUGGGUGGAGUGGAAGACCAUUGGAAUGCAUAAUAUUCUUGCCCUCCCUCCUCAGAUUGUCAGAGGCGCUGAAACAAUACUAGGAUAUUCAGAGGAUGCUGAUGUGUUUUUUAUAUAUGUGGACGUCAAGUUCUAUAUGGUUCAGUUUAGGUCAAUGCAAUCCAAGAUACUUGAUGAAGCAUAUUAUAUCACUGACUACCAUCCUUUCACAGGGUUUUAUUCACCAGGUAACUGUUCAUACUCAGUAUUUCUAUCGUAGUAGUAACCCAAUUCAAUUAUUUUUUCUACAUGGCUCAAACAUAUAUAUUGUGCUUCUUAAGUCACUAACAAUUAAGCUUAAUCAACAAUUGUCCCUUUGCGAGGUAGACAGACUUAAAUUAUCAUUAGUUGUUUUUUACACUACUAGUGUCAAAAACGCUCUUAUAUUAUGGGAUAAAAGGAGUAGCUGAGUAAACUGCUUUCAGAACAUUCCUUGCAUAUAGAAGAGAUGCAGUGCUUUCAUUAUGAAGUAUCUAAGCAAAUUGCUUUCAGAACAUUCCAUGCAUCUAAAAUAGAUGCAGUUCUUUCAUUAUGAAGUAUCUAAGUAUAUAUAUACUGCUUUCAGGAAUCUUUUUUGCAUUUACAGAUGUAGUUUUUUUAUGUUGCAAGUUUAAAAGUUGAGCCGUAAUUCAUCUAUAAAAAGUCAUUUAUUUUUCUCAAGUCACGUUUGUCAGCUCAACUGUGUAGACUUACUCGUGCCUUCCAUCAUCCAUUUGCUUCUUCCUAGGCACUGUCAUAAGUUGAAGUUUUAUGCUUCUAGGCAUAAACAUUGCUGGUGGAUGUGAUGGAGCUGAAGUAUUGCACGUUGCAUUGGUACGACUAUCUGCUUUGAUUUGCUAAUGUGUUGAAAUGCUACAACAGGCAAUAAUAUAUUUUGAAUACGAUUUGUGAGGUUUGAACCAUUUGAAUUGUAAAUAUCCAGAUGCCUACAUAGGUAGCGUCAUAGCAUGCACCCGCAAACUACUGUCAAUUUGGUUAUAUGGGUUCACGCUUGUGAGUGACACCAACACACACAUCAAUUGAACUGAUGGGGUUCAUGCUUGUGAGUGACACUAACACAUACAUCAAUUAAACUGAUGGCGAUGCCAAGAGAAAACUACUUCAUUUUGGAUUGCAAAUGAUAUCUAAAUGUUGAAUAGGAAUGGGCUCAAAGUGUUAAAUUUGCAUUAAUAUUCAUUCUUUGGGAUCUAGUUGAUUUUAAAUACCAGUCAUGUGAUAGUAGUAGUAAUAAUAACAAUAACAAUAAUACUAAUAAUGAAUAAUAAAAUAUCUAAUUAGAUUCUAGAAUGUUUGUAAUCUCACUAUAUAUAUAAGUAGUUGGACAAAAAAAAUGGCAUUCACUUAAAAACUCGUCUGCCAGUGCAUUUGCAUGAUCCACUUUGCUAGUUUAUUCAAAGGUAUAAUAUAAUGAUUAUUAUGUGGGUUCCUAUCAGGUUUCAAGAAAUUGGCAAGUUUCCAGAUAAAUAAACUUUCAUCAUUUCGGCCAAGUUUGAAGAUGAGUUGCGGUAACUUUCAAAAUUGUAUGGCGGGUGCGAAGACGACCAAAUUCAAGACAAGUUUCAACAUUUUUAUAUUCAGUCUUAAUUUGUACAAAUUUCAAAAACAGGGCAAAUGAACAGAACUUGUUGGCACAUGAACAAAACUGUACAUUGACUUCACCUUAACCAUCAGCACACUACCAACAGCCGAUGUAGUUCAUGAGGAAGAAUUUACAAAGACUCUACACGGCAAUCGUAGCAUUUGCAUCUGUAUUUCAUACAAACAGCCAGCCACAUUGCUGACUUCCACUCAAUAUUUGCAAAAAUAACAGGCAACCUUUGGCAUGGCCUGAUUAGCUAGCUAGGAGACUAACAUACACCGUCUCUUCUCAUGUGUGUAGCACUCAACACUGAUAAGCAUUUGCCUCGUCAGUACAAGCAGAGGAACCUAGCAGUAUUUACAAGGUGUAACAAAGGUUGCAGAGGGCCGUGUUUUCUAAACUCUUUCCCAUUUCUGCCGUAGAAGCUCUUCCUCAAUCAACUCUAGACUUCUUCGCCAUGUGUAGAAUCAUGUCAGUGCAGCGCUGGCUGCAACACAAGGUACACAAGAAGUUAUAGAACGAGGCGAUUCAGAAACGUCGCAGUUGAUGGGUUUUAUACGUUUUCCUCUGAAGAAUAUGUGUGCGUGAUGAUAAAAGAUAAUUACCCGUAGCUGCGCUGGUGGUUGAACCAUGCGAAGAGCUUGAAGGAACCGUCCCCCAGCAUACCUCCAGCAUCGGCAUCAAAGAAGCACGACCUGCGUUUGUCAAGGCCAUUCAAGCAACUGAUGAACGAAUGCCUCCAAACCACACCAGCCCAUGAUGAUAUAUACAUGGUGACUACUGACACAGUUACCUGCAAUCUCCUAAAUAAUCUGUGGCCUUGAGCCCCACUCCUCCCUCCAGGUUAGCUAGUACAUAGUGAAGUUCCUCUGAAGAAGACUCCUUCCUGCAAAGUACAGCAACACACAUUUCAGUAAAUAAUGCACUUUGAAGCAAAGAUGCUUGCAGUUCUGCUUGCAAUCUUUCAUACAUACAAGACAAGGAGUACGUGGAAUUACCAACGUUUCAAAAAACAUGCCGAUCCUUUGUCGAAAACACCAGUUCCAGCAGACAUUUAUAAUACACCUUUCAGUAAAAAAUGUACUUGGGAACAGAGAUAAUAGCAACUUGACUGAAAGCACAUUACCAGGGGUACACAAGAUUACGAAAUUCCGAUAAAAAUGUCCAUCCUUUGUUGAAAAUAGCAGUUCCAGGUGAGAAUUCACAGUUAUGACUUGAUAACAGACCAGGAAAAGUCACUAGACAGCCAACUGAGCAUUGAACUUACCUGACAGAAUCCUUGAUCAUCUCAUAGUCAGCACACUCGUCAAGCCUAACGGCCAGUUCCACACAAGACAGUUUCACCUGAGGAUCAUGGCUCACCGUCACAUGGAACCUGUCGACUAAAUCAGGAAUAGCGGAACUGAGUGCCUGCAGAUUACCAAAUGUAACAAUCAGGACGUCUGCUGAAAAGAUACUGUAAUAUCAGUUUUUUUAAGAUGAUAAUAGCACAUAAAUACUAGGUUGAUUCUUACCCUGCCAAUUUCUGCAGCACUAGAGGAUGGUCCGGUUAUAGUCACAUGGCACUCUCUGAUGCCAAAUUUAGUGUGGAGGAUCUGAAAACAAUUCAAAGUCAUCAGCAACUAUACAAACCAAAUUGAGGCAAAGAGCUAGUAGCUAAACAGAGGAUGAAACUUGUAAACCUUGGCGAGCAGAGCAAGACAAAUUGUAGCGGUAUCAGCAACUGAGAUGAUCCUAAUAUCUGGUGUGUACGUAUUUUCAUUGACACCGUAAACAAAUGUGGGAGCUUCAUUGCUCAGAGCACAGAUGAUAACCUUCUUGGCGCCACCCUAGCACACAAGACAAAUGCAUGUUUCUUUACUUCGAGAUACAGAUAGGAAAUGUACAUCCGCGAACUUUGAGAUUAUUAAACCCAAUAAAAACCUGAGAAAAGAAACAGCCCCUACUAUACUGAUUUACUGUUUUGGUCAUGCUGAACAACUAAAUACAUAGCUUUCGAUUUAACAAAAAAACCAGUGUAUAUACCAUCAAGUGAGAGCUGGCAGUAUCCGUGUCAGUGAAUACUCCAGUGCUCUCCACGACGUAGUCUGCGCCGAGAUUGCCCCAGGGUAUUUUUUCAGGCUCACUAGCAUUGGAAACGACGUGUUAGGUCUUAGUACUUGAAAUGGUGGCCUGUAAAUGUAACUGAAUUUAGUGACAAAAUGGAGAUUCAUACGAAAUAGCUAGAACUUUGGUGGGAGGGAAUAAAUCAGGAGGCAUGUCCGCUAGCGCUGUAGCCUGCAAAUUCACCAAUUGAUGCACAGUAAGUCAAACAACAAAUAUAGUGACUCAAUUAUGAACAAAAACAUAAAGGUGGCAUACAAUGUCAUUUGCGCUCACAAAAGGGUCGUUGACGACGACUAGUUCCAUUUUCUUGCUGUGCAAAAUAAGCCUGGCCACAAGUCUCCCGAUCCGCCCCAAACCAUUGAUCCCAAUCCUCGGUUUGGUUGCUUUACCAGGUCGGGGUCCGAGCUUAAGUCCGCCACGCUUUGAUUUCUGCAAAGACGCGCAAAUGAAUUUCGGCAGCAGUAAGACUUGAAGAAGAUGGUGAAAUAAGAGACCAGCAGAUAACUACCUUGACUUCGUAGAACUGAGGUGGGUGAGCCUUCUUUCUGAACUCCAACGUUUCAUACUCACCCUUUGUAAGCCAGUCCCUGUCCAUGUACUCAAAACUCCUAUGCUGCUCAUCAAAAACAGUUUCCGCCACGUUCUUGAUGACCUCGUUGAGCUCUGCCACAGGUAUAAUAUCCUCCUCAUCACGGCUCCGCUUCCUGGGCCCGACUUCACUAUCCUGGUACAUCGUCUUGGCAAACGGAUCCCCCUUGACGUACAUCGGGCUCGUGUCCACCGGUGCAUCUUUGUCGGGAAGCUGGGCCUGCAGCGAAGGCGCCACAGGGCAGCUCAGGAGCGCUGGGAACACCGUGUCAGCUGGGCACACGGCAUAGGGGUCCGGCACAUCCCCAAAUGCUGAUGCACACCAAUUCCAGCAGUGAGUCGGUUAACCAUAAUGCAAGAAUAAAACAAUAUUAUUUUCUGACUGUAUACAACAGCAAUCGAGGAGACAAUUUAUCCCCUGAUUUAAUAAAACAGCAUGCCUUUAUAAGAAGGUAAGAAACUAAGCUUAUCUACUUCUUCCUCGGAUCGUUCAAAAAGGAAUAUAUAUCCCAGAACCACACGUCAUGAUUUGGGGAAUGAAUAUUAAUUCAACAACAUUAGUAUAAAUAAGCAUUCUUCGCUAUCGAAUUGACCAUCGAAAUUUCCAUGAUCAAGUUAUACUGUAGCUAACUAGCAAAUUGAGCAAACAGUAAACGGUAGCCCUAACCUUGAGGCAAAAAUUAAUUGAUUAGAAUCAUGUUAAUGGACCCAAUCUAAUGCACUUAGUUCAUUCAUCAAUUAGGCACUAGUUGCUGAACCCUGACAAUACGGUCACCUGAUGCGACAGAACAUGUUCUAACGCGUUCAUGAAGGAAAGAUGCCGAAGUUCUUCCUGAUGAAAGAAACAGUAAGCUUAUUUCCAAACAGCAGGCACAGUUCGACAUAGCAAAACUUUCUCUUAUUUCUAACGGGAAUCAAUAACUCAUUGAUAAAGGGGCACUUGAUCAACAUCCACUGACUUCACAAAAGAAAACAGCUAUCCAGGCAUUAACUUUCCUCUGAUUUUAAUAUGACAGCAUGCCUGUUCAAGAUACUACAGGUUAAGAUUUGGAGAAUGAACGUUAGUAUAAAUAAGCAUUCUUCUCUAUCAAAUUGACAACCGAAUUUCCAUGAUCAAGUUAUACUGUAGCUAACUAGCAAAUUGAGCAAACAGUAAAUGUUAGCCCUAACCUUGAGGCAGGAAUUAAUUGAUUACUCAUGUUAAUGGACCCAAUCUAAUGCACUUUGUUCAUUCAUCCAUUAGGCACUAGUUCUGACAAUAUUUUCAUAUUCAUCAAUGAAAGAUGGCGAAGUUCUUCCCUGAUGCAAGAAACAAUAAGGUUAUUUCCAAACAGCAGGCAGAGUUGGACAUAGCAAAACUUGCUCUUAUUUCUAACGAGAAUUAAUAACUCAUUGACAAAGGGGUACUUGAUCAACAUCCACUGACAAAGAAAACAGCAGCUAUCCAGGCAUUAAUAUUCCCCUGAUUUAAUAACACAGCAUGCCUGUUAAAUAAAUUAGGCUCAUCUACUUCCUGGGAUUCAGAUAAAAAGGGUUCAAAAAGGGACCAAUCCGAGAACCACAGGUUAUGAUUUGGAGAAUGGACGUUAAUUCUUUGACCAUCGACUUUCCCUGAUCAAGGUAUACUGUAGCUAACUAGCUGAUUGACCAAUCAGAAAAGAAUUACGGCAAGAAUUAAGUGACUAGAAUCUGAUGCACUUCUCGUUAAUUCUUCCAUUAGCCACCAAUUAAUGCAACAGAUCAUGUUCUAACGCAUUCAUUCAUCAGCGAAACAGGGUGAACUCAUUGACAAACCAGGGAGACGUACUUGAUCCACAUCCAAGAAACAGACACGUACGGAGCUAGACAUUUUAGGAAGUCAGUCAAAUAACUCUGUAAAAUUAAGCAUGCGUAUGUGCUUGAUCUGUAAGCGAUUAGUUGAUUUGAUCCACCAAACGGAAAAGAGAAUUGACAGCAUUAAAUUGCAGAAGCAAAACUAACAGCAACCCAAAAUCACCCAAAUCACUGGUUGAUUAGCAACAAACAAGACGCGCGCGUGCACGGUGAUUCGAAUCGAAGAAGAAACGGCGGGGCCAGAGUUGAGAGUUGUACCUGAGCCAGGCGGAAUAAACCGGAGCAAGGCGGCGUUGGGCGUGGCCGGCGGCGUCGCCGAGGAUGAAGCCGUGGUCGUGGCGGAGGAGCCGGCGACGAGCGUCGUGCAGGCGGUAGACUCGAGCGCGGUCGCGGCGGAGGAGGCGGAACCGGCGAAGACCGCCGUGCAGGUGGUAGAGUCGAGCGCGGCCGCGGAGGAAGAGGCCGAACCGGCGAACAGCGUCGUGCAGGCGGUAGGCUCGAGCGCGGAGGAGGAGGCAGCGAGCGGGGCCAGGGAAGUGGCGGGACCCGUCGAGGAGGAGGCGCCGACCUCGGCCCCGGACUCGGUGGUCUCGGGCGCGGAGAAGGCGGCCGCGGGCGGGGUCGCGGCGGUGGCUGCAGACCCCGUCGAGGAGGAUGCGGCGGCGGCGGCGGUGGACUCCGGCGCGGCGGAGCCCAUGGCCGCGAGGGGAGAGCUUGCAGAGGAAGAAAGGGAUUCUGUUACGGUUAGUUACGGUUGUCAGUUGCUUUUGGCUGGCGGGCGGGAUGCGUUUGAGUUUCAGGAGAGGGAAGGGGCCCUCGUCUCUCUUUUAAACCCCAACAGUCGUCGUCGACGUGGAUGGCACGCAAUGUGUUCGACCGAAUGCCCCUUCCUCCAUUCCUCUGUCUCUCGGAGAAACUGUCAGUGGCAAGGCCUUAUGAAUUUCAGCCCGGGUCACUCGGAUCAAUUAUUUGGUACAAGUUGGAUCCAUCCCAUCCUAAAGACUUUCACUCGAUUACUCGGAUCAAAAUCGAUUACCAUAUGCCCCGUUUAUGAACACCCUCCUUUUUUUUUCUAAAGAAUCCGUCGGUUGUUCUUCCCCCGAUAAACGUAAAACGCAACCAAAAAUUGCUUCAAAAUAAAAUCAGAGGAGGAGAGGACACAAAAAACUCACAAUGAUUCCCAAAGAAAAGAUACAUCAACUUCAUUGUCCAUUUUACGAGUCACCGAGACUAGGUGUUUAUAAGACUACUACCGGUGUUUCAUGUCAUACUAAAUUGACUCUGUAGACGAAAGAGACAAUCCAAUAAUGUUGAGAGGGGGCAGCCGACCGCUAGGGAAAACAUCGUCAUGGAUCUCCUCUCCGCGUCAGAAUUUCGGGUGAAGACCCUUGUCCGAUGUGGCUAGGCAGUGACGACGCUUUGGUCGGUUCUACGUCUUGAGGGCAUUGUCGAGGAGUUUAGGUGUCCUACUAGGGUGUUGCAUGGGGUUGUUCUCAGUUUCUCUUGUGUUCUCCUUCGGUAGCCUAGUUGCUUUGCCUUCUUCGUGUUCCAGGUAGCCUGGGAUCUGCUUUGUAAGAGGGUUAAUUCACCACCUUGUAUCUUUCGGCCGUGUACUUUCUUUGGUUUGUGACUUUAUUUAUCAAGGGGGCGAAAGCCUGUUUCGAGUGUUGUGCUGUUGGAUUUCGACAACCCAUUAGGUAAGUUUACAAUUUUUAACUCUUCUCUUUUUGACAACUUUUCUUUAAUUGCCCAGCUUUGGAAAUCUAUGUGUAGUCAUUCAAUAAAUUGUACGAUAGCUCGUUAUGAAUUUUGAAAUUUGAAAGCAUUCAAAAAAAACUUUUAAGAAUUCAAAACAUCAUGAUUCUCAACUUUUAGAAAAUCCAAAUAUAUAUACAUUGAAAGUUCAAUUGCUCUACAUCCUUUUGAUUCACCAUACAUUGAUUAGCCAACUUAACAUAUGAUUCUAAAAAUAUUAUAAUCUAUGUGUGAAUUAAGAAUGAGAAGUCUGGCUGCCGCCCCUCUCCUCGACCCCCUCCCUCCUGAUCUCCUCCUUCCCGAUCUAAUCUAGGCUUUGAUUCACCGUCGCCCAUCUCCUCGCCGUCGCCGGAGCUCCGCGGGACAAAGUUCAGGCGAGGGAUGAUGGCGGCAGCAGGGCCUUCCUCCACUGUGGCUCCGGGAAGCGGUUGCGGUCGAGAUCCACGCGUGUGUCCUGGACGUGUGUGUUAUCUGUUGGAAAUAUGCCCUAGAGGCAAUAAUAAAAGGAUUAUUAUUAUAUUUCCUUGUUCAUGACAAUUGUCUUUAUUCAUGCUAUAAUUGUAUUAUCCGGAAAUCGUAAUACACGUGUGAAUACAUAGACCAUAAUAUGUCCCUAGUAAGCCUCUAGUUGACUAGCUCGUUGAUCAACAGAUAGUCAUGGUUUCCUGAAUAUGGACAUUAGAUGUCGUUGAUAACGGGAUCACAUCAUUAGGAGAAUGAUAUGAUGGACAAGACCCAAUCCUAAGCAUAGCACAAGAUCGUGUAGUUCGUUUUGCUAGAGCUUUUCCAAUGUCAAGUAUCUUUUCCUUAGACCAUGAGAUCGUGUAACUCCCGGAUACCAUAGGAGUGCUUUGGGUGUACCAAACGUCACAACGUAACUGGGUGACUAUAAAGGUGCACUACAGGUAUCUCCGAAAGUGUCUGUUGGGUUGAUACGGAUCGAGACUGGGAUUUGUCACUCCGUAUGACGGAGAGGUAUCUCUGGGCCCACUCGGUAAUGCAUCAUCAUAAUGAGCUCAAAGUGACCAAGUGUCUGGUCACGGGAUCAUGCAUUACGGUAUGAGUAAAGUGACCUGCCGGUAACGAGACUGAACGAGGUAUUGGGAUACCGACAAUCGAGUCUCGGGCAAGUAACGUACCGACUGACAAAGGGAAUUGUAUACGGGGUUGAUUGAAUCCUCGACAUCGUGGUUCAUCCGAUGAGAUCAUCGAGGAGCAUGUGGGAGCCAACAUGGGUAUCCAGAUCCCGCUGUUGGUUAUUGACCGGAGAGCCGUCUCGGUCAUGUCUACGUGUCUCCCGAACCCGUAGGGUCUACACACUUAAGGUUCGGUGACGCUUGGGUUGUAGAGAUAUGAGUAUGCAGCAAACCGAAAGUUGUUAGGAGUCCCGGAUGAGAUCCCGGACGUCACGAGGAGUUCCGAAAUGGUCCGUAGGUAAAGAAUAAUAUAUAGGAAGUGCAAUUUCGGCCAUCGGGAGAGUUUCGGGGGUCACCGGUAUUGUACCGGGACCACCGGAAGGGUCCCGGGGGUCCACCGGGUGGGGCCACCUAUCUCGAAGGGCCCCGUGGGCUGAAGUGGGGAGGGUACCAGCCCCUGGUGGGCUGGUGCGCCCCCCUGGGCCCCCCUCUGCGCCUAGGGUUGGGAGCCCUAGGGGAGGGGGCGCCUCAAGUUGCCUUGGGGGGCACUCCACCCCCUUGGCCGCCGCCCCCCUAGAGAUCCCAUCUCUAGGGCCGGCGCCCCCCUGGGGGCCUAUAUAAGGGAGGGGGAGGGAGGUCAGCCGCACCCUGAAGUCUUGGCGCCUCCAUCUCCCCUGCUACACCUCUCCCUCUCGCAGAAGCUCGGCGAAGCUCUGCCGGAACGCUGCUGCAUCCACCACCACGCCGUCAUGCUGCUGGAUCUUCAUCAACCUCUCCCUCCUCCUUGCUGGAUCAAGGUGCGGGAGACGUCAUCCGCUCCGUACGUGUGUUGAACACGGAGGUGCUGUCCGUUCGGCAUUUGGUCAUCGGUGAUUUGGAUCACGACGAGUACGACUCCCUCAACCCCGUUCUCUGAACGCUUCCGCUCGCGAUCUACAAAGGUAUGUAGAUGCACUCCUAUCACUCAUUGCUAGAUGAACUCAUAGAUGGAUCUUGGUGAAACCGUAGGAAAAUUUUUAUUUUCUGCAACGUUCCCCAACAGUGGCAUCAUGAGCUAGGUCUAUGCGUAGUUCUCUAUUGCACGAGUAGAACACAAAUUUGUUGUGGGCGUAGAUGUUGUCAACUUUCUUGCCGCUACUAGUCUUAUUUUGCUUCAGCGGUAUUGUGAAGCGGCCCGGACCGACCUUACACGUACGCUUACGUGAGACAGGUUCCACUGACUGACAUGCACUAGUUGCAUAAGGUGGCUAGCGGGUGUCUGUCUCUCCCACUUUAGUUGGAGCGGAUUUGAUGAAAAGGGUCCUUAUGAAGGGUAAAUAGAAGUUGACAAAUCACGUUGUGGCUUUUUCGUAAGUAAGAAAACGUUCUUGCUAGAACCCUAUUGCAGCCACGUAAAAGAUGCAACAACAAUUAGAGGACGUCUAACUUGUUUUUGCAGCAAUUGCCUUGUGAUGUGAUAUGGCCAAAAGUUGUGAUGAAUGAUGAAUGAUAUAUUGUGAUGUAUGAGAUCAUGUUCUUGUAAUAGGAAUCACGACUUGCAUGUCGAUGAGUAUGACAACCGGCAGGAGCCAUAGGAGUUGUCUUAAUUAUUGUAUGACCUGCGUGUCAAUGAUUUAACGCCAUGUAAUUACUUUACUUUAUUGCUAAACCGUUAGCCAUAGUAGUAGAAGUAAUAGUUGGCGAGCAACUUCAUGGAGACACGAUGAUGGAGAUCAUGCUGAUGGAGAUCAUGGUGUCGUGCCGGUGACGAAGAUGAUCAUGGAGCCCCGAAGAUUGAGAUCAAAGGAGCUAUAUGAUAUUGGCCAUAUCAUGUCACUGUUAUAUAAUUGCAUGUGAUGUUUAUUAUGUCUAUGCAUCUUGUUUACUUAGAAUGACGGUAGUAAAUAAGAUGAUCCCUUAUAAUAAUUUCAAGAAAGUGUUCCCCCUAACUGUGCGCCGUUGCUAAAGUUCGUCGUUUCGAAGCACCACGUGAUGAUCGGGUGAUAUAGAUUCUUAUGUUCACAUACAACAGGUGUAAGACAGUUUUACACAUGCAGAAACACUUAGGGUUAACUUGACGAGCCUAGCAUGUAUAGACAUGGCCUCGGAACACAGAGACCGAAAGGUCGAACAUGAGUCGUAUGGAAGAUACGAUCAACAUGGAGAUGUUCACCGAUGAUGACUAGUCCGUCUCACGUGAUGAUCGGACACGGCCUAGUCGACUCGGAUCGUGUAACACUUAGAUGACUAGAGGGAUGUCUAAUAUGAGUGGGAGUUCAUUAAAUAAUUUGAUUAGAUGAACUUAAUUAUCAUGAACUUAGUCUAAAACCUUUGCAAAUAUGUCUUGUAGAUCAAAUGUCCAAUGCUCAUGUCAACAUGAACUUCAACGCGUUCCUAGAGAAAACCAAGCUGAAAGAUGAUGGCAGCAACUAUACGGACUGGGUCCGGAACCUGAGGAUCAUCCUCAUAGCUGCCAAGAAAGCAUAUGUCCUAGAAGGACCGCUAGGUGAAGCACCCAUCCCAGAGAACCAAGACGUUAUGAAUGCUUGGCAGUCACAUGCUGAUGAUUACUCCCUCAUUUAGUGCGCCAUACUUUACAGCUUAGAACCGGGGCUCCAAAAGCGUUUUGAGCAACACGGAGCAUAUGAGAUGUUCGAGGAGCUGAAAAUGGUUUUCCAAGCUCAUGCCCGGGUCGAGAGAUAUGAAGUCUCCGACAAGUUCUAUAGUUGUAAGAUGGAGAAAAAUAGUUCUGUCAGUGAGCACAUACUCAAAAUGUCUGGGUUGCACAACCGCCUGCCCCAGCUGUACAUUAACCUCCCGGACGAGGCGGUCAUUGACAGAAUCCUUCAGUCGCUCCCACCGAGCUACAAGAGCUUCGUGAUGAACUACAAUAUGCAGGGGAUGGUGAAAACUAUUCCUGAAGUAUUUUCAAUGCUGAAGUCGGCAGAGGUAGAAAUCAAGAAAGAACAUCAAGUAUUGAUGGUCAAUAAAACUGUUGGGGAACAUUGCAGUAAAUUAAAAAAUUUCCUACGGUUUCACCAAGAUCCAUCUAUGAGUUCAUCUAGCAACGAGUCAUGGGAGAGUGAUUGCAUCUACAUACCACUUGUAGAUCGCGUGCGGAAGCGUUCAAUGGAACGGGGUUGAUGGAGUCGUACUCGCCGUGAUUCAGAUCACCGAUGACCUAGUGCCGAAUGGACAGCACCUCCGCGUUCAACACACGUACGGAGCAGAUGACGUCUCCUCCUUCUUGAUCCAGCAAGGGGGGGAGAAGAGGUUGAUGAAGAUCUAGCAGCACGACGGCGUGGUGGUGGAUGCAGCAGAACUCCGGCAGGGCUUCGCUAAGCAACUACGGGAGGAGGAGGAGGUGUUGCAGGGAGGAGGGAGGCGCCAGGGCUUAUGGGUGCGGCCACCCCUCCCUCCCCUCCCUUUAUAUAGGCGCAUGAGAGGGGAAGGGCGCAGCCUUGCCCCUUCCUCCAAGGAAGGGGUGCGGCCAAGAGGGGGGAGGUGUAACGCCCGGAUAAUCUUGCUACAGUAAUCCCACGCUAAUCAUGGCACGUCAUCCCGAUUACUGUUGCUAUCCUCGCAAUAAUUCGAAACCGUUCAAAUUCAAAAUUCAAAUUGAUGAAAACAAUAAAAGUUUUCAAAAUUUAAAAUAAAAUUGUUCGGUGGUUGACGAAUAUUACAAAGGUAAUUAUAGUGCAACAGACAUAUUUUUAUAAAAUGGCUAAAUGGAUUAAAUGAUUUAAACAGAAAAGAAAUAAUAAAAGAAAAUACAAAAGGAAAGAAAAACAGAAAACCAAAAAGAAANNNNNNNNNNNNNNNNNNNNNNNNNNNNNNNNNNNNNNNNNNNNNNNNNNNNNNNNNNNNNNNNNNNNNNNNNNNNNNNNNNNNNNNNNNNNNNNNNNNNNNNNNNNNNNNNNNNNNNNNNNNNNNNNNNNNNNNNNNNNNNNNNNNNNNNNNNNNNNNNNNNNNNNNNNNNNNNNNNNNNNNNNNNNNNNNNNNNNNNNNNNNNNNNNNNNNNNNNNNNNNNNNNNNNNNNNNNNNNNNNNNNNNNNNNNNNNNNNNNNNNNNNNNNNNNNNNNNNNNNNNNNNNNNNNNNNNNNNNNNNNNNNNNNNNNNNNNNNNNNNNNNNNNNNNNNNNNNNNNNNNNNNNNNNNNNNNNNNNNNNNNNNNNNNNNNNNNNNNNNNNNNNNNNNNNNNNNNNNNNNNNNNNNNNNNNNNNNNNNNNNNNNNNNNNNNNNNNNNNNNNNNNNNNNNNNNNNNNNNNNNNNNNNNNNNNNNNNNNNNNNNNNNNNNNNNNNNNNNNNNNNNNNNNNNNNNNNNNNNNNNNNNNNNNNNNNNNNNNNNNNNNNNNNNNNNNNNNNNNNNNNNNNNNNNNNNNNNNNNNNNNNNNNNNNNNNNNNNNNNNNNNNNNNNNNNNNNNNNNNNNNNNNNNNNNNNNNNNNNNNNNNNNNNNNNNNNNNNNNNNNNNNNNNNNNNNNNNNNNNNNNNNNNNNNNNNNNNNNNNNNNNNNNNNNNNNNNNNNNNNNNNNNNNNNNNNNNNNNNNNNNNNNNNNNNNNNNNNNNNNNNNNNNNNNNNNNNNNNNNNNNNNNNNNNNNNNNNNNNNNNNNNNNNNNNNNNNNNNNNNNNNNNNNNNNNNNNNNNNNNNNNNNNNNNNNNNNNNNNNNNNNNNNNNNNNNNNNNNNNNNNNNNNNNNNNNNNNAAAAAUAAAAAUAAUAUUUAUUAAAUAAAUAAAUAAUAAUUAAAUUAAUUAAUUAAUUAAGGAAUUAAUUAAGUUAAUUAAUCAUAAUUAGAUUAACCUAAUUAACUAAUUAGUUAAAUUAAACUGUAAUUAGAUUAACCUAAACCCUAAUUAAUUUAAAUAGAGAAUGACAGGUGGGUCCCACUGGACCCACAUGUCAGGGUUGACUCAGUCAACCCCUGUUGACUGCUGACGUCAGCAUGACAUCAUGCUGACGUCAUAAAUACAUUUUUUUCGAAUUAAUUAAAUAAAUAAUUAAAUUCCAAAAUUAUUAAAAUCUUUUAAAAAUCAUAUCUUUUAAUCCGUAACUCGGAUUAAAAUGUUUUCAACAUGAAAGUUGCUCAGAACGACGAGACGAUUCCGGAUACGCAGUCCGUUCGUCCGCCACACACCCCUAACCUAUCGAACUCGCAACUAUUCCCCUCCGGUUCAUCUGUCCGAAAACGCGAAACACCGGGAAUACUUUCCCGGAUGUUUCCCCCCUUCGUCGGUAUCACCAACUACCGCGAUUGGGCGCACCUAGCAUCGUACUUGUCAUGUCAUGCAUCGAUAUGCAUUUGUUUGCAUUGUAUUCAUUGUUUCUUCCCCCUCUUCUCUCCCGUAGACUACGAGACCGACGCUGCUGCUGCCCAGUUCGACUACGGAGUUGACGACCCCUCCUUCUUGCCAGAGCAAUCAGGCAAGCCCCCCCCUUGAUCACCAGAUAUCGCCUAUUCUUUUCUAUACUGCUUGCAUUAGAGUAGUGUAGCAUGUUACUGCUUUCCGUUGAUCCUAUCCUGAUGCAUAGCCUGACAUUGUUGCUACACCUGUUGAUACCUUACCUGCAAUCCUAAAUGCUUAGUAUAUGAUGCUAGUUUAUCAUCAUUGGCCCUACAUUCUUGUCAGUCUGCCUUGCUAUACUAUUGGGCCGUGAUCACUCGGGAGGUGAUCACGGGUAUAUACUAUACAUACAUACAUACUAUACAGAUGGUGACUAAAGUCGGGUCAGCUCGAAGAGUACCCGCGAGUGAUUCACGGAUUGGGGGCUGAAAGGACCUUUGUCCCGACGGCCCUCUGUGUGGAUCUUUGUGGCGGAGCGGCAGGGCAGGUUGAGACCGCCUAGGAGAGAGGUGGGCCUGGCCCUGUUCGGCGUUCGCGGACACUUAACACGCUUAACGAGAUCUUGGUAUUUGAUCUGAGUCUGGCUACGAGCCUAUACGCACUAACCAUCUACGUGGGAGUAGUUAUGGGUAUCCCGACGUCGUGGUAUCAGCCGAAGCACUUCAGACGUCAGCACGGAGCGGCGCGCGCCGAAUUGGACUGGAACGCCACUAGGCUAGGUCUGCUUUCGGCCGCCCACGCAACGUGCAGGUGUGCUCAGGGCGAUGGGCCCAGACCCCUGCGCGCUUAGGUUUAGACCGGCGUGCUGGCCUCUCUGUUUUGCCUAGGUGGGGCUGCGACGUGUUGAUCUUCCGAGGCCGGGCAUGACCCAGGAAAGUGUGUCCGGCCAAACGGGAUCAAGCGUGUUGGGUUAUGUGGUGCACCCCUGCAGGGAAGUUAAUCUAUUCGAAUAGCCGUGAUCUUCGGUAACAGGACGACUUGGAGUUGUACCUUGACCUUAUGACAACUAGAACCGGAUACUUAAUAAAACACACCCUUCCAAAUGCCAGAUACAACCGGUGGUCGCUCUACCUCAGGGAUAUGAGGAGGGGAUCGCCGGGUAGGAUUAUGCUAUGAAAUGUUACUUGGAGAUGCUACUUGGAGGACUUCAACCUACCCUCUUCUACCUGUUGCAAGAAGAAGGUGACCAGAAGCGUAGUCUUCGACAGGACUAGCUAUCCCCCUCUUAUUCUGGCAUUCUGCAGUUCAGUCCACUGAUAUGGCCCUUUACACAUAUACCCAUGCAUAUGUAGUGUAGUUCCUUGCUUGCGAGUACUUUGGAUGAGUACUCACGGUUGCUUUCUCCCCCCUUUUUCCCCUUUCCCUUCUUUCUGGUUGUCGCAACCAGAUGCUGGAGUCCAGGAGCCAGACGCUACCGUCGACGACGACCCCUACUACACUGGAGGUGCCUACUACUACGUGCUGCCCGCUGAUGACGACCGGGAGUAGUUUAGGAGGAUCCCAGGCAGGAGGCCUGCGCCUCUUUCGAUCUAUAUCCCAGUUUGUGCUGGCCUUCUUAAGGCAAACUUGUUUAACUUAUGUUUGUACUCAGAUAUUGUUGCUUCCGCUGACUCGUCUAUGAUCGAGCACUUGUAUUCGAGCCCUCGAGGCCCCUGGCUUGUAUUAUGAUGCUUGUAUGACUUAUUUUAUUUGUAGAGUUGUGUUGUGAUAUCUUCCCGUGAGUCCCUGAUCUUGAUCGUACACAUUUGCGUGCAUGAUUAGUGUACGAUUGAAUCGGGGGCGUCACAAGUUGGUAUCAGAGCCAGGUUUCGAUCCUGGGACCUGUGGGUUAUGGGCCCACGUCGCCAUCGGGUGGUACUAGGAUCUUUUACUCCUCGACCUUUACUCUGGGACUCUGAACUCUUUUCUACUCGGGUUAAACGAAUUUACUAACUCUAACAUUAGGAUCCCGUUACCACGUUCACCCCGAAGUUGGAUAAGACAUAGUUAUUCUGUAGGAUAGCAUUUUGAAUAGUGCCCGUGUUGUCAUUUGACUCCAUUGAAACAUAUUUGUUUUCAGAUGGAACCCACGAGGCAGGUCGUGCGCCACACUGCGGCCAUUGGUGCCUCAGGAUCACCUGCAGUGCUAGCUGAUAUGAUGACCUAUCUGGGUUAUCGCUGGCACCCUGAGUACACCGUCUACGAGGAGUAUCAGGACUUUAACCAGGAGCAGUACCGUGCCAUCGUCCACCUCUACUCUCGGGAGUAUGAGUCCACUACCGUGCUGCACACCGCUCAUGGUGUUGGAGUGACCAUCGAGAUGGCAGUUCACGAUGCGGCUCAUGCUGCUCUGACACGUCUUCGUGGAGAGUAUCAGGCAUUGGACACUUCCCCUUUCAGGCACAUUCCUAUCGCAUCUGACGUUGGUGCGGAGGGAUACUACACUGCCGCCUACUCCACCGUCACCCGAGAGCCUUUCCACCAUCAGCGCCUGGUUCUGCAUGCUGAUGGGCUGGACCGAGCUAACAGAGCUCUUCGCCACGAGUUGUACACCACUCGUCAGCACCUUUACAGGGCUCUGACGCGGCUGCACCCCUUUGUCCGGUCUAGACAGCUGCCGCGUUCUGCGAUCUACCCAGCCAGGACCGUGAUGCCCCACGGUGUCGGAUGGCCAGAGGUGGGAGGCUACUCUCCCACACUUGGUCCUCUUCUGCCACCUGAGCAUCGGGUUCUACACCAGAGUAUCCGCGGCCCCCAGGCCACUGACGUGGAGGACUAUCCGUUGCCUCACUACCAGCUGUCAGGUUACAGCUACCUUCACAGUACCUCCUGGGACUGAUGUAGUCUUGUUCAUUAGUCUUAGAUGCACUCGCGAGCCUGCGUGCCGCCUAUGAUGACUUAAUCUAUGUACUGAACUCUGUGUACUGAACUCUAUGUCCGACCCCUUUUGUAAGUUAUGCCGACUAUCUAUGUGGUAUUUGUCGUGCUCAUUUCAUUUUGCAUGUUUCAUCAUGAAUGACUCUUGUCUAUGCAAAUUCUCAAUACUGCACUACCCCUGUUAUAUAUGAGCAGGAUGGUUAGACCAGCUGGUCGUGGUCGUGGUGGCAACUUCCCACCACCGCCUGAGUACAUGGCUGGUAUGAUCCAACAGCUUGAGAUGAAUCGCCAGUUCAUGGAAAACAUGAUGGCUCAGUUUCCUCGCCCCAAUAUGAACCAGCAUCCAAACACAACAACUCUGCAGGAUUUCAUACGCCUCAACCCAAGUGUGUACCGCAGCUCAACCCAGCCGCUGGAUGCUGAUGACUGGCUCCGUGACAUCACCUAUGAGAUGGAGUCUGCUGAUGUAGCCCCUGCCAGCUAUGUCACUUUUGCUUCCUUCUUCCUGAAGGGACCCGCAGCUCAAUGGUGGGACAGCCAUAGGCGUACUCUGCCAGUUGGGACAAUCAUCUCCUGGCCAGACUUUCAGGCUGCCUUCCGUGCCCGCUUCAUUCCUCAGGGAAUCAUGGACAGGAAGAAGCGUGAGUUUCGCAACCUCACCCAAGGCAACAAGACUGUUGAAGCUUAUCAGCGGGAGUUUCUGGACUUAUCCCGCUAUGCUGAAGAAGACAUAGCAACUGAUGCUCGCAGACAGGAGAAGUUCCGUGAAGGCCUUCAAGCUGACAUCAAGCUCACACUUCUAGUGCAUGACUUUGCCGAUUUCGCCACCUUGGUGAACAAGGCCAUCAAUGUCGAGACUGGUCUGCAAGAACACCAGAGCUCUCAAAGGCGCAACCGUGACACGGGCUCAUCUUCGGGCCCGCCCUCGCAGAAGCGUAAGAUAUGGAUCCCGAACAGCAUGUACCGUCCAACUGCACCUGCCCCAAGGCAGUCUUUUGCUGCACCUCGUCUGCCGACUGCUCCAACUAGGCAGCCGAGGCUUCCAGCUCCACCACCCCAAGCUCCUGUUCCUACCCCCGAGAAUGGGUUGUGCUUCAGGUGCGGACAACCAGGGCACCGUGCUAGGGAAUGCAACCAGAGACAGAAUCAACUGGCCCUUCCAGCAACUGGCCGUGGGAACAACCAGGCCCGCAACAACAAUGCCAAGUCUUAUGGCCGUGUUCAUGCCAACCACAUUGAUCUGAAUGAAGCUCAAGACCAGCCUGCUACUGUGAUGGGUACACUCCUCGUAAAUUCAGUACCAGCAUCUGUUUUAUUCGAUACAGGUGCAUCGCAUUCAUUCAUGUCAGAAGAUUUUGCAUGCUUGCACGACAUUAAAUGUGAGGACAUGAAUGCUUCACUAUUAGUGCACACCCCUGCGGGCCAAUGUCGAACCUCCAUGAUUUGCAACGACGUCCCUGUAGAAAUCGAAGGACUGGAAUUCCUUGUCUCUCCCAUCGUACUGAAGUCCUGUAGCAUUGAUCUCAUUUUGGGAAUGGAUUGGUUAAAGGCGCAUACUGCUUCUAUCGUUUGCGCCACUAAGACCGUUCAUCUGCUACACCCUUCUGAUGAAAUAAUUAGCUAUGAUGCUCAUCUGGUUCGGAAUGCCGAGGCCAGGCUUUAUGCCUUAAACGCAUUGAACGUUGCACCACUCAAGGGCAUUGAAAACAUUCCUGUCGUGCGUGAAUUCCUAGACGUCUUUCCUGAAGAACUCCCAGGGAUUCCCCCUGCUAGAGCUGUCGAAUUCGUCAUCGACUUGAAACCAGGCACCACUCCUAUAGCCAAGAGACCCUACAAGAUGCCGCCGCAUGAACUCCUUGAGCUUAAGGAGGAAAUCGAUAAAUCUCUUCAAAGUGGUUUCAUUCGCCCAAGUUGCUCUCCUUGGGGAGCACCUUCUCUCUUUGUCAAGAAGAAAGAUGGGACAAACCGAUUGGUCCAAGACUACCGUCCUAUAAAUCAAGCUACCAUUCAGAAUAAGUAUCCUCUUCCUCGGAUCAAUGAUCUGUAUGAUCAAUUGGCUGGUUCAUCAGUGUUCUCUAAACUCGACUUGAGGUUGGGUUACCACCAGAUCCGUGUUCGUGAGGAAGAUAUCCCCAAGACCGCCUUUGUGACUCGUUAUGGUUCAUACGAGUACACCGUCAUGUCUUUCGGCUUAACCAAUGCUCCAGCCACCUUCUCUCGCCUGAUGAACUAUAUAUUCAUGGAUUACCUUGACAAGUUCGUCGUGGUUUAUCUGGAUGAUAUUCUGGUAUUUUCCAAGAACGAAGAGGAACAUGCUGAACAUCUUCGCCUCGUACUGGAAAAGCUACGAGAGCAUCAACUUUAUGCCAAGUUCUCCAAAUGUGAAUUCUGGCUUCCCGAAGUAACCUAUCUCGGGCAUGUCAUCUCUAAGGAUGGUAUUGCCGUCAACCCUGAACGAGUUCAGGCUAUUCUCGAUUGGACUCCUCCGAAGAACGUUAAGCAAGUCAGAAGUUUUCUCGGUCUCGCCAGCUACUGCCGUCGAUUCGUCGAGAACUUCUCCAAGAUUGCCAGGCCUCUGACUAACCUAUUGCAUAAGGGCGUCAAGUUCCAAUGGACAGACAAAUGUCAGGAAAGCUUCCAGGCACUCAAAGACAAGUUGACUUCUGCCCCAGUACUAGCUCCACCUGAUACUAAGAAGGACUUCGUCAUUUACUGCGACGCUUCCCGUCAAGGAUUAGGCUGUGUCCUAAUGCAAGAGCGCAAAGUGGUUGCUUAUGCCUCUCGUCAAUUGCGCCCUCACGAAGAGAACUACCCAGUUCACGAUCUCGAACUUGCUGCUGUCAUCCAUGCGCUAAAACAGUGGCGACAUUACCUACUCGGUAAUCGUUGCGAGAUCUUCACUGACCACCAAAGUCUGAAGUAUCUGUUUACUCAGCCAGACCUGAACCUCCGUCAGCAGAGAUGGAUGGAGACUGUUGCAGAUUUUGAUUUGGGUAUUUCCUAUACACCAGGCAAGGCUAAUGUAAUGGCUGAUGCCUUGAGCCGCAAGUCUUACUGCAACCACCUCCAGGUUCACAAAGUUCAGCCCUCACUUGUUGAAGAAUUCAGAAAGCUAAACCUCCAUAUUGUUCCUCCGGGUGCACUCGCUCCCCCUCCUCCGGAGUUCCGCAAGAUGAAUCUCCGUGUUGUUUCCCAGGGUUCCCUCUAUAACCUGGCUGUUGAACCCGAUCUCGUGGGCACCAUAAAGACAAUGCAGGGAUUUGACUCUGAAGUCUACAAGAUUAAGCAAGACCUCAAAGAAGGAGGUUCCUCAUCCUUCACUAUUGCUGAUGAUGGCGCCUUGUACUUCAAAGGCCGCCUAGUGGUGCCGUGUAAGAAGGAAAACCUGAAUAUGACCCAGGAGGUUAUGAAAGAAGCUCAUGAUACGCCUCUUUGUAUCCAUCCUGGUAGUACGAAGAUGUAUCAAGACAUCCGCCAGAGAUUCUGGUGGUCUAACAUGAAGCAAGACAUUGCUCGUUAUGUUGCUGAAUGUGACGUUUGCCGUCGUAUCAAAGCAGAACAUCAAAGGCCUGCUGGAACUCUGCAACCUAUAUCUAUUCCGGAAUGGAAAUGGGACCAUGUCGAGAUGGACUUCGUUACUGGAUUCCCCAAAUCGCAGAAAGGCAAUGAUGCUAUUCUUGUCGUCAUUGACCGACUUUCUAAAGUUGCACAUUUUCUGGCGGUCAAAGAAAGGAUCACUGCUAGUCAGCUUGCAACUCUCUACAUGACCAGAAUUGUUUCGCUUCACGGUAUUCCACUGGUUAUCAGUUCAGACCGUGGCAGUUUAUUCACUUCAAGAUUCUGGGCAAGUUUCCAAGAAGCUAUGGGCACUCAUCUAUCUUUCAGCACUGCUUUUCAUCCUCAGUCACAAGGGCAAGUUGAACGUGUCAACCAAGUUCUCGAGGACAUGCUUCGAGCUUGUGUUAUUUCCUUCGGCAAGAAAUGGGAGGAAUCUCUUCCGUAUGUUGAGUUCUCUUAUAAUAAUAGCUAUCAAGCUAGUCUGAAGAUGGCCCCCUUCGAAGUGUUAUAUGGACGAAAGUGCCGAACCCCUCUGAACUGGUCAGAAACUGGGGAACGUCCACUCUUUGGUCCGGAUAUUAUCCAACAUGCCGAAGAUCAAGUCCGCAUUAUUCGCGAGAAUCUCAAGACUGCUCAGUCACGCCAAAAGAGUAAUUAUGACCGUCAUCAUAAAGACAUGGUCUAUCAACCUGGCGAGAAGGCCUAUCUUCGAGUUACACCAAUGAAGGGUGCUCACCGCUUCGGGAUCAAGGGCAAGCUAGCUCCUCGCUAUAUUGGCCCAUUCACUAUUCUGGAAAGGCGUGGAAAAGUGGCAUAUCAAUUGGAGCUUCCGCCGAACCUUUCUCAGGUUCACGAUGUGUUCCAUGUGUCACAACUUCGCCGUUGCUUCAAGGACCCCAUCCGAGCUGUGGAUCAUGAAGUCCUCGAAUUGCAACAGGACCUCUCCUAUAAAGAGCAUCCGGUCCGCAUUCUCGACCAAGCUGAACGCCGCACACGCCAGAAGGCGAUCAAGUUCCUCAAGGUCCAGUGGUCGAAUCACUCUGAAGACGAAGCCACCUGGGAACGCGAGGAUCGCCUGCGUGAUGAAUACCCCGCACUGUUUCCUUCUACCUCCUAAAAUCUCGGGACGAGAUUUCUUGUAGUGGAGGAGAUUUGUAACGCCCGGAUAAUCUUGCUACAGUAAUCCCACGCUAAUCAUGGCACGUCAUCCCGAUUACUGUUGCUAUCCUCGNNNNNNNNNNCGCCGCCCUUGCCUGCUCGACACCGCCGCUCGCCGGUACGGGCCGGUCCUCCCCCGACCUCGUCGGCCCCGCCCCGGGCUGUCGUGCCUGUCGUCGCCCCGUGCGCCCUUGGGCGUGCGCCCGCUCGGGCUGGCGCCCGACGCCCAUCUCCACCCCAGCACCCGUUAGCCCGAACCGCUGUGGCCCCUUUGGCCCAAUGACACAGGGGCCCACGCCCCAGAACUUUAAAAAAAAAAGAGGAAUUAAAAUAAAAAUAAAAAUAAUAUUUAUUAAAUAAAUAAAUAAUAAUUAAAUUAAUUAAUUAAUUAAGGAAUUAAUUAAGUUAAUUAAUCAUAAUUAGAUUAACCUAAUUAACUAAUUAGUUCAAUUAAACUGUAAUUAGAUUAACCUAAACCCUAAUUAAUUUAAAUAGAGAAUGACAGGUGGGUCCCACUGGACCCACAUGUCAGGGUUGACUCAGUCAACCCCUGUUGACUGCUGACGUCAGCAUGACAUCAUGCUGACGUCAUAAAUACAUUUUUUUCGAAUUAAUUAAAUAAAUAAUUAAAUUCCAAAAUUAUUAAAAUCUUUUAAAAAUCAUAUCUUUUAAUCCGUAACUCGGAUUAAAAUAUUUUCAACAUGAAAGUUGCUCAGAACGACGAGACGAUUCCGGAUACGCAGUCCGUUCGUCCGCCACACACCCCUAACCUAUCGAACUCGCAACUUUUCCCCUCCGGUUCAUCUGUCCGAAAACGCGAAACACCGGGAAUACUUUCCCGGAUGUUUCCCCCCUUCGUCGGUAUCACCAACUACCGCGAUUGGGCGCACCUAGCAUCGUACUUGUCAUGUCAUGCAUCAAUAUGCAUUUGUUUGCAUUGUAUUCAUUGUUUCUUCCCCCUCUUCUCUCCCGUAGACUACGAGACCGACGCUGCUGCUGCCCAGUUCGACUACGGAGUUGACGACCCCUCCUUCUUGCCAGAGCAAUCAGGCAAGCCCCCCCCCCCUUGAUCACCAGAUAUCGCCUAUUCUUUUCUAUACUGCUUGCAUUAGAGUAGUGUAGCAUGUUACUGCUUUCCGUUGAUCCUAUCCUGAUGCAUAGCCUGACAUUGUUGCUACACCUGUUGAUACCUUACCUGCAAUCCUAAAUGCUUAGUAUAUGAUGCUAGUUUAUCAUCAUUGGCCCUACAUUCUUGUCAGUCUGCCUUGCUAUACUAUUGGGCCGUGAUCACUCGGGAGGUGAUCACGGGUAUAUACUAUACAUACAUACAUACAUACUAUACAGAUGGUGACUAAAGUCGGGUCAGCUCGAAGAGUACCCGCGAGUGAUUCACGGAUUGGGGGCUGAAAGGACCUUUGUCCCGACGGCCCUCUGUGUGGAUCUUUGUGGCGGAGCGGCAGGGCAGGUUGAGACCGCCUAGGAGAAAGGUGGGCCUGGCCCUGUUCGGCGUUCGCGGACACUUAACACGCUUAACGAGAUCUUGGUAUUUGAUCUGAGUCUGGCUACGAGCCUAUACGCACUAACCAUCUACGUGGGAGUAGUUAUGGGUAUCCCGACGUCGUGGUAUCAGCCGAAGCACUUCAGACGUCAGCGACGGAGCGGCGCGCGCCGAAUUGGACUGGAACGCCACUAGGCUAGGUCUGCUUUCGGCCGCCCACGCAACGUGCAGGUGUGCUCAGGGCGAUGGGCCCAGACCCCUGCGCGCUUAGGUUUAGACCGGCGUGCUGGCCUCUCUGUUUUGCCUAGGUGGGGCUGCGACGUGUUGAUCUUCCGAGGCCGGGCAUGACCCAGGAAAGUGUGUCCGGCCAAAUGGGAUCAAGCGUGUUGGGUUAUGUGGUGCACCCCUGCAGGGAAGUUAAUCUAUUCGAAUAGCCGUGAUCUUCGGUAACAGGACGACUUGGAGUUGUACCUUGACCUUAUGACAACUAGAACCGGAUACUUAAUAAAACACACCCUUCCAAGUGCCAGAUACAACCGGUGGUCGCUCUACCUCAGGGAUAUGAGGAGGGGAUCGUCGGGUAGGAUUAUGCUAUGAAAUGUUACUUGGAGAUGCUACUUGGAGGACUUCAACCUACCCUCUUCUACCUGUUGCAAGAAGAAGGUGACCAGAAGCGUAGUCUUCGACAGGACUAGCUAUCCCCCUCUUAUUCUGGCAUUCUGCAGUUCAGUCCACUGAUAUGGCCCUUUACACAUAUACCCAUGCAUAUGUAGUGUAGUUCCUUGCUUGCGAGUACUUUGGAUGAGUACUCACGGUUGCUUUCUCCCCCCUUUUUCCCCUUUCCCUUCUUUCUGGUUGUCGCAACCAGAUGCUGGAGUCCAGGAGCCAGACGCUACCGUCGACGACGACCCCUACUACACUGGAGGUGCCUACUACUACGUGCUGCCCGCUGAUGACGACCGGGAGUAGUUUAGGAGGAUCCCAGGCAGGAGGCCUGCGCCUCUUUCGAUCUAUAUCCCAGUUUGUGCUAGCCUUCUUAAGGCAAACUUGUUUAACUUAUGUCUGUACUCAGAUAUUGUUGCUUCCGCUGACUCGUCUAUGAUCGAGCACUUGUAUUCGAGCCCUCGAGGCCCCUGGCUUGUAUUAUGAUGCUUGUAUGACUUAUUUUAUUUGUAGAGUUGUGUUGUGAUAUCUUCCCGUGAGUCCCUGAUCUUGAUCGUACACAUUUGCGUGCAUGAUUAGUGUACGAUUGAAUCGGGGGCGUCACAGGAGGAGUCCAUCCUCCCCAAGGCACCUUGGAGGUGCCUUCCCCUCUUUGGACUCUCCCCUCUCCAAGUCUUCUUGGCGCAUGGGCCUCUUGGGGCUGGUGCCCUUGGCCCAUAUAGGCCAAGGCGCACCCCCUACAGCCCAUNNNNNNNNNNNNNNNNNNNNNNNNNNNNNNNNNNNNNNNNNNNNNNNNNNNNNNNNNNNNNNNNNNNNNNNNNNNNNNNNNNNNNNNNNNNNNNNNNNNNNNNNNNNNNNNNNNNNNNNNNNNNNNNNNNNNNNNNNNNNNNNNNNNNNACCCCUUUCGGCACUCCCGGUACAAUACCGAUAAAGUGCGAAACUUUUCCGGCGACCAAAAUAAGACUUCCUAUAUAUAAAUCUUUACCUCCGGACCAUUCCGGAACUCCUCGUGAUGUCUGGGAUCUCAUCCGGGACUCCGAACAACAUUCGGUAUGCUGCAUACUCAUAUUCAUACAACCCUAGCGUCACCGAACCUUAAGUGUGUAGACCCUACGGGUUCGGGAGACACAUAGACAUGACCGAGACGGCUCUCGGGCAAUAACCAACAGCGGGAUCUGGAUACCCAUGUUGGCUCCCACAUGCUCCUCGAUGAUCUCAUCGGAUGAACCACGAUGUCGAGGAUUCAAACAACCCCGUAUACAAUUCCCUUUGUCAAUCGGUACGUUACAUGCCCAAGACUCGAUCGUCGGUAUCCCAAUACCUUGUUCAGUCUUGUUACCGGCAAGUCACUUUACUCGUACCGUAAUGCAUGAUCCCGUGACCAAACACUUGGUCACUUUGAGCUCAUUAUGAUGAUGCAUUACCGAGUGGGCUCAGAGAUACCUCUCCGUCAUACGGAGUGACAAAUCCCAGUCUCGAUCCGAGUCAACCCAACAAACACUUUUGGAGAUACCUGUAGUGCACCUUUAUAGUCACCCAGUUACGUUGUGACGUUUGGUACACCCAAAGCACUCUUACAGUAUUCGGGAGUUACACGAUCUCAUGGUCUAAGGAAGAGAUACUUGACAUUGAAAAAGCUCUAGCAAAACGAACUACACGAUCUUGUGCUAUGCUUAAGAUUGGGUCUUGUCCAUCACAUCAUUCUCCUAACGAUGUGAUCCCGUUGUCAAUGACAUCUAAUGUCCAUAGUCAGGAAACCAUGACUAUCUGUUGACCAACGAGCUAGUCAACUAGAGGCUCACUAGGGACAUGUUAUGGUCUAUGUAUUCACACGUGUAUUACGAUUUCCGGAUAAUACAAUUAUAGCAUGAAUAAAAGACAAUUAUCAUGAACAAGGAAAUAUAAUAAUAAUGCUUUUAUUAUUGCCUCUAGGGCAUAUUUCCAACAAAAACCACCAAGUUCAAGAAGGGCAAGGGUAAGAAGAACUUCAAGAAGGACGGCAAGGAUGUUGCUGCGCCCGGUAAGCCAGUUGCCGGGAAGAAGUCAAAGAAUGGACCCAAGCAUGAGACUGAGUGCUUUUAUUGCAAAGGAAAGGGUCACUGGAAGCGGAACUGCCCCAAAUACUUAGCGGACAAGAAGGCCGGCAACACCAAAGGUAUAUGUGAUAUACAUGUAAUUGAUGUGUACCUUACCAGUACUCGUAGUAACUCCUGGGUAUUUGAUACCGGUGCCGUUGCUCAUAUUUUUAACUCACAGCAGGAGCUGUGGAAUAAGCGGAGAUUGGCGAAGGACGAGGUGACGAUGCGCGUCGGGAAUGGUUCCAAGGUCGAUGUGAUCUCCGUCGGCACGCUGCCUCUACAUUUACCCACGGGAUUAGUUUUAAACCUCAAUAAUUGUUAUUUAGUGCCAAGUUUGAGCAUGAACAUUGUAUCUAGAUCUCGUUUGAUACGAGAUGGCUACUCAUUUAAAUCCGAGAAUAAUGGUUGUUCUAUUUAUAUGAGAGAUAUAUUUUAUGGUCAUGCCCCGAUGGUCAAUGGUUUAUUCUUAAUGAAUCUUGAACGUAAUGUUACACAUAUUCAUAGUGUGAAUACCAAAAGAUGUAAAGUUGAUAACGAUAGUCCCACAUACUUGUGGCACUACCGCCUUGGUCACAUUGGUGUCAAGCGCAUGAAGAAGCUCCAUGUUGAUGGACUUUUAGAGUCUCUCGAUUAUGAAUCAUUUGACAUGUGCGAACCAUGCCUCAUGGGCAAAAUGACCAAGACUCUGUUCUCCGAAACAAUGGAGCGAGCAACCAACUUAUUGGAAAUCAUACAUACCGAUGUGUGCGGUCCAAUGAGCGUUGAGGCUCGCGGAGGAUAUCGUUAUGUUCUCACUCUCACUGAUGACUUGAGUAGAUAUGGGUAUUUCUACUUAAUGAAACACAAGUCUGAGACCUUUGAAAAGUUCAAGGAAUUUCAGAAUGAGGUAGAGAAUCAACGUGACCGAAAGAUUAAGUUCCUACGAUCAGAUCGUGGAGGAGAAUAUUUAAGUCACUAGUUUGGUACGCACUUAAGGAAAUGUGGAAUCGUUUCACAACUCACGCCGCCUGGAACACCUCAGCGUAAUGGUGUGUCCGAACGUCGUAAUCGCACUCUAUUGGAUAUGGUGCGAUCUAUGAUGUCUCUUACUGAUUUACCGCUAUCAUUUUGGGGAUACGCUCUAGAGACAGCUACAUUCACUUUUAAUAGGGCUCCUCUAAGUCCGUUGAGACGACACCGUAUGAAUUAUGGUUUGGGAAGAAACCUAAGCUGUCGUUUCUAAAAGUUUGGGGAUGUGAUGCUUAUGUCAAGAAACUUCAACCUGAAAAGCUCGAACCCAAGUCGGAAAAAUACGUCUUCAUAGGAUACCCUAAGGAAACCAUUGGGUAUACCUUCUACUUAAGAUCCGAGGGCAAGAUCUUUGUUGCCAAGAACAGAUCCUUUCUAGAAAAAGUGUUUCUCUCAAAAGAAGUAAGUGGGAGGAAAGUAGAACUCGAUGAAGUACUGCCUCUUGAACCGGAAAGUAGUGCAACUCAGGAAAAUGUUCCUGUGGUGCCUACACCAACUGGAGAGGAAAUUAAUGAUGAUAAUCAAGGUACUUCGGAUCAAGUUGCUACUGAACUUCAUAGGUCCACAAGGACACGUUCCACACCAGAGUGGUAUGGCAACCCUGUCCUGGAAAUCAUGUUGUUAGACAACGGUGAACCUUCGAACUAUGAAGAAGCGAUGGCAGGCCCAGAUUCCAACAAAUGGCUUGAGGCCAUGCAAUCCGAGAUAGAAUCCAUGUAUGAAAACAAAGUAUGGACUUUGACAGACUUGCCCGAUGAACGGCGAGCGAUAGAAAACAAAUGGAUCUUUAAGAAGAAGACGGACGCGAAUGGUAAUAUUACCAUCUAUAAAGCUUGACUUGUCGCUAAGGGUUAUCGGCAAGUUCAAGGGGUUGACUACGAUGAGACUUUCUCUCCCAUAGCGAAGCUGAAGUCCGUCCGAAUCAUGUUAGCAAUUGCCGCAUACUAUGAUUAUGAUAUAUGGCAAAUGGACGUCAAAAGGGCAUUCCUUCACGGGCAUCUUAAGGAAGAACUGUAUAUGAUGCAGUCGGAGGGUUUUGUCGAUCCUAAGAAUGCUAACAAAGUAUGCAAGCUCCAGCGGUCCAUUUAUGGGCUGGUGCAAGCAUCUCGGAGUUGGAACAUUCGCUUUGAUGAGAUGAUCAAAGCGUUUGGGUUUAUGCAGACUUAUGGAGAAGCCUGCGUUUACAAGAAAGUGAGUGGGAGCUCUGUAGCAUUUCUCAUAUUAUAUGUAGAUGACAUACUCUUGAUGGGAAAUGAUAUAGAACUUUUGGACAGCAUUAAGGCCUACUUGAAUAAGUGUUUUUCAAUGAAGGACCUUGGAGAAGCUGCUUACAUAUUAGGCAUCAAGAUCUAUAGGGAUAGAUCGAGACGCCUCAUAGGUCUUUCACAAAGCACAUACCUUGAUAAGAUUUUGAAGAAGUUCAAAAUGGAUCAGUCCAAGAAAGGGUUCUUGCCUGUAUUGCAAGGUGUGAGAUUGAGCUCGGCUCAAUGCCCGACCACGGCAAAAGAUAAAGAAGAGAUGAGUGUCAUCCCCUAUGCUUCAGCCAUAGGAUCUAUUAUGUAUGCCAUGCUGUUACCAGACCUGAUGUAAACCUUGCCGUAAGUUUGGUAGGAAGGUACCAAAGUAAUCCCGGCAAGGAACACUGGACAGCGGUCAAGAAUAUCCUGAAGUACCUAAAAAGGACAAAGGACAUGUUUCUCGUUUAUGGAGGUGACGAAGAGCUCGUCGUAAAGGGUUACGUCGACGCUAGCUUCGACACAAAUCUGGAUGACUCUAAGUCACAAACCGGAUACGUGUAUAUGUUGAAUGGUGGAGCAGUAAGCUGGUGCAGCUGCAAGCAGAGCGUCGUGGCGGGAUCUACAUGUGAAGCGGAGUACAUGGCAGCCUCAGAGGCAGCGCAUGAAGCAAUUUGGUUGAAGGAGUUCAUCACCGACCUAGGAGUCAUACCCAAUGCAUCAGGGCCGAUCAAACUCUUCUGUGACAACACUGGAGCUAUUGCCCUUGCCAAGGAGCCCAGGUUUCACAAGAAGACCAGGCACAUCAAGCGUCGCUUCAACUCCAUUCAUGAAAAUGUUCAAGAUGGAGACAUAGAAAUUUGCAAAGUACAUACGGAUCUGAAUGUCGCAGAUCCCUUGACUAAACCUCUUUCGCGAGCAAAACAUGAUCAACACCACAACUCUAUGGGUGUUCGAUUCAUCACAAUGUAACUAGAUUAUAGACUCUAGUGCAAGUGGGAGACUGUUGGAAAUAUGCCCUAGAGGCAAUAAUAAAAGGAUUAUUAUUAUAUUUCCUUGUUCAUGAUAAUUGUCUUUAUUCAUGCUAUAAUUGUAUUAUCCGAAUAUCGUAAUACACGUGUGAAUACAUAGACCAUAAUAUGUCCCUAGUAAGCCUCUAGUUGACUAGCUCGUUGAUCAACAGAUAGUCAUGGUUUCCUGACUAUGGACAUUAGAUGUCGUUGAUAACGGGAUCACAUCAUUAGGAGAAUGGUAUGAUGGACAAGACCCAAUCCUAAGCAUAGCACAAGAUCAUGUAGUCCGUUUUGCUAGAGCUUUUCCAAUGUCAAGUAUCUUUUCCUUAGACCAUGAGAUCGUGUAAAUCCCGGAUACCAUAGGAGUGCUUUGGGUGUACCAACCAUCACAACGUAACUAGGUGACUAUAAAGGUGCACUACAGGUAUCUCCGAAAGUGUCUGUUGGGUUGACACGGAUCGAGACUGGGAUUUGUCACUCCUUAUGACGGAGAGGUAUCUUUGGGCCCACUCGGUAAUGCAUCAUCAUAAUGAGCUCAAAGUGACCAAGUGUCUGGUCACGGGAUCAUGCAUUACGGUACGAGUAAAGUGACUUGCCGGUAACGAGACUGAACGAGGUAUUGGGAUACCGACGAUCGAGUCUCGGGCAAGUAACAUACCGACUGACAAACGGAAUUGUAUACGGGGUUGAUUGAAUCCUCGACAUCGUUGUUCAUCCGAUGAGAUCAUCGAGGAGCAUGUGGGAGCCAACAUGGGUAUCCAGAUCCCGCUGUUGGUUAUUGACUGGAGAGCCGUCUCGGUCAUGUCUACGUGUCUCCCGAACCCGUAGGGUCUACACACUUAAGGUUCGGUGACGCUAGGGUUGUAGAGAUAUGAGUAUGCAGCAAACUGAAAGUUGUUCGGAGUCCCGGAUGAGAUCCCGGACAUCAUGAGGAGUUCCGGAAUGGUCCGGAGGUAAAGAAUAAUAUAUAGGAAGUGCAGUUUCGGCCAUCGGGAGAGUUUCCGGGGUCACCGGUAUUGUACCGGGACCACCGAAAGGGUCCCGGGGGUCCACCGGGUGGGGCCACCUAUCCCGGAGGGCCUCGUGGGCUGAAGUGGGGAGGGGACCAGCCCCUGGUGGGCUGGUGCGCCCCCCCCCCCCUGGGCCCCCCUCUGCGCCUAGGGUUGGGAGCCCUAGGGGAGGGGGCGCCUCAAGUUGCCUUGGGGGGCACUCCACCCCCUUGGCCGCCCCCCCCCCUAGAGAUCCCAUCUCUAGGGCUGGCGCCCCCCCUGGGGGCCUAUAUAAGGGAGGGGGGAGGGAGGGAAGCCGCACCCUGAAGUCUUGGCGCCUCCCUCUCCCCUGCUACACCUCUCCCUCUCGCAGAAGCUCGGUGAAGCUCUGCCGGAACUCUGCUGCAUCCACCACCACGCUGUCGUGCUGCUGGAUCUUCAUCAACCUCUCCCUCCUCCUUGCUGGAUCAAGGUGCGGGAGACGUCAUCCGCUCCGUACGUGUGUUGAACGCAGAGGUGCUGUCCGUUCGGCACUUGGUCAUCGGUGAUUUGGAUCACGACGAGUACGACUCCCUCAACCCCGUUCUCUGAAUGCUUCCGCUCGCGAUCUACAAAGGUAUGUGGAUGCACUCCUAUCACUCGUUGCUAGAUGAACUCAUAGAUGGAUCUUCGUGAAACCGUAGGAAAAUCUUUAUUUUCCGCAACGUUCCCCAACAUUAUCUGGCGUAGGUGGGGCAGCGGUGAGGGCCCCUCCGUUGUCAAUGGCUCACCCAGGCGGGGCGGCAGUUCCGUACGGUGGUGUGGCUCCAGUCGUGCGGUUUCUCGGUGGUAGACAUCACCCAUGGGCAUGCUGGAUGAUGGCGGAGGUCGAUCUGGUGGUCCCACUACAAGAAAUUAAUAUGUCAACUAGUGACCUUCUGUCAGUGACCCUGGAAGAAUUGGUCAUAGAUCUAUGACCAUUUGAGACCAAUUGGUCAAAAGCUGUUCGGGGGCUCCAAACCCUAAACUAUAACGACCAUUUUGGUCAAAAAGGUCGUAAUUUCCUUGCACGAAAUGGUCAUAAAGCAGAUAGCACUGGUUCGCUGCCUUAUUUCUAGCUGAUCGUGAGCAAUAUAGAUGGUCAUAACCUUGUAAAUUGUGGUGGGUUGCUAUGACUAGGCGCCACCUCAUCAGUUUUGCCUAUGUGGCAUGUCCAUGUGGCAGUUUUUGCCCUAGGUUGUGAAGCAACCUAUAUUUCUGUCAUUCCCAAAAUUCCCCAAAAAAUCUCAUAAAUUCUUUGGGUCAUAUCUUCGUCAAAUAUGUAAGAAACCUUCCUUGAGUAGUUCAAAAAUAAUUCAAAAAUAUUAAUUUUCCUAUUCUAUUCAGGAAACACUUUGUGAAGGAAGUACCACUUUGGCAUGUCCAAAUGGUAUCCAUUUUCUAUAGUGCUUUCAUAUGCCCAAAUAACCAUCUUCCACCAAAUGCCAGCUCAAUCCAUUCAUUAUUUUGAGCCCAGCUUCAACAUUCGUAUUUAUGUCCAGUGUGGUACUUUGCAAAGCAAGUACCACCUAGGCUCCUCCUUUUGAGCUGAAAAUUUGUGAAGAGGGUCUUCUUAGUAACUGAUCAUCCUCAGCCAAAACUUACGCCCAUUAGCCAUGUGCAUUUCCCGUACCGCUAAUCAAACACUUGGCUGCUUAUUCAUGUUUGAGCAUCGAUCGGUCUCCUCGUGAGAAUCUUAUGUUGUGAUUUUCUUCCUAGCACCUACCUGGUGAGUGCCCAACCCAAUAGACAUGUCUAGGCCGCCUAGAACACAUGGCAACGCCACGGUCACGUGAUGACCACGCGGCGGGCAUGCGAGUUUACGCGCUCUGGAGUUGGGGCCCUCGGCCACCAUCCAAACCUCGACGUAUCGCCACCAAACCAUGUAUUUAUGAUUAAAUAGGUACUUAUGUAACUAGAAAUGAUUUUUGGAAAAAAUUAGCAAACUAUGAGGCAGCUGUAGUUCAAAUUUGACCCGCAUCCUGCUGAAUCGGUGGGAAUUUGUCUUUUUCACCAGAGGUGGAUCAAAACUUUUGACACCUAACCAUUUUGUCAAUUGUGCAUUAAAUAUGGCCUAGUAUUUUAUAAAAUUGAUUAGGUCCAAUUUUGCAACAAAUAUAUGGUAGGUCCUUCACAAAAAAACUCAUUUCGGGCACUCGGAAAAUGGAAAAUGAAUUUUUCGUGCAAAGAAAAUAAAAACUCCCUUAGGCAACAUUGUUUGGAAUUCCAAGAUGCACCCUUGUGCACAAUAUGAGAUCAUUUGAACAAACUAUGCCAUGAAUGUGGCCAUAAGAUUGAUCAUUUUGGCUUGAAAGCCAUGAAUCUUCACACAUGAUAGCUCGUUUCUGAGAACACUUUUUUAAAAUAAUUGUCGUAUUACAAGUUUAUUAUUUUUCCUGGAAACUUGGUCACAUAUAAUGACACAAUGCGACGGUUUUCAAUUUUUUUGAUUUUUUUUAUUUUUUUAUGCCCGUUUCAAAAUGCGGUCAAAACGACGGGCUUAACAGUUCCUAGCUAGUGGUUGAAUCUUGGAAAAAAUUUGAUGUUUCUCUGAUUAAAUAGAUACUUAUAUACCUAGAAAUGAUAUUUGGAAAAAAUAAAGAGCAAACUAUAAGGUAGACACAGUUCAAAUUUGACCCGCUUCCAACUGAAUCAGAGGGAAUUUGUCUUUUUCAUGAGAGGUGGAUCAAAAAAUUUGACACCCAACCAUUUUGUCAAUUGUCCAUUAUAUAUGGCCUAGUAUUUUAUAAAAUUGAUUAGGUCCAAUUUUGCAACAAAUAUAUGGUAGGUCCUUCACAAAAAAAACUCAUUUUGGGCACUCGGAAAACGGAAAAUGAAUUUUCCGUGCAAAGAAAAUAAAAACUCCCUUAGGCAACAUUGUUUAGAAUUCCAAGAUGCACCCUUGUGGAAAAUAUGAGAUGAUUUGAACAAACUAUGCUAUGAAUGUGGCCAUAAGAUUGAUCAUUUUGGCUUGAAAGCCAUGAAUCUUCACACAUGAUAGCUCAAGAACACUUUUUUAAAAUAAUUGUCGUAUUACAAGUUUAUUAUUUUUCCUGGAAACUUGGUCACAUAUAAUCACACAAUGCGAAGGUUUUCAAUUUUUUUGAUUUUUUUUGAAUUUUUUAUGCCCGUUUCAAAAUGCGGUCAAAACGACGGGCUUGACAGUUCCUAGCUAGUGGUUGAAUGUUGGGAAAAAAUUGAUGUUUCUAUGAUUAAAUAGAUACUUAUGUACCUAGAAAUGAUUUUUGGAAAAAAUAAAGAGCAAACUAUGAGGUAGACAUAGUUCAAAUUUGACCCGCUUCCAGCUGAAUCGGCGGGAAUUUGUCUUUUUCACGAGAGGUGGAUCAAAACUUUUGUCACCCAACCAUUUGGUAAAUUGUCCGUUAUAUAUGGCCUAGUAUUUUAUAAAAUUAAUUUGGUCCAAUUUUGCAAUAAAUAUAUUAUAGGUCCUUCACAAAAAAUACUCAUUUUAGCCACUCGGAAAAUGGAAAAUGAAUUUUUCGUGGAAAGAAAAUGAAAACUCCCAUAGGCAACAUUGUUUGAAAUUCUAAGAUGCACCCUUGUGCACAAUGUGAGAUCAUUUGAACAAACUAUGCCAUGAAUGUGGCCAUAAGAUUGAUCAUUUGGCUUGAAAGCCAUGAAUCUUCACACAUGAUAGCUCGUUUCUGAGAACACUUUUUUUAAAAUAAUUGUCGUAUUAUAAGUUUAUUAUUUUUCCUGGAAACUUGGUCACAUAUAAUGACACAAUGCGAACGUUUUCAAUUUUUUUGAUUUUUUUUGAAUUUUUUAUGCCUGCUUCAAAAUGCGGUCAAAACGACGGGCUUGACAGUUCCUAGCUAGUGGUUGAUUCUUGGAAAACCUUUGAUGUUUUUCUGAUUAAAAAUAGAUACUUAUGUACCUAGAAAUGAUUUUUGGAAAAAAUAAAGAGCAAACUAUGAGGUAGACACAGUUCAAAUUUGACCCGCUUCCAGCUGAAUCGACGGAAAUUUGUCUUUUUCACGAGAGGUGGAUCAAAACUUUUGACACCCAACCAUUAGGUCAAUUGUCCGUUAUAUAUGGCCUAGUAUUUUAUAAAAUUGAUUUUGUCCAAUUUUGUAAUAAAUAUAUUGUAGGUCCUUCACAAAAAAUACUCAUUUCAGCCACUCGGAAAAUGGAAAAUGGAUUUUUCGUGGAAAGAAAACGAAAACUCCCUUAGGCAACAUUGUUUGGAAUUCUAAGAUGCACCCUUGUGCACAAUAUGAGAUCAUUUGAACAAACUAUGCCAUGAAUGUGGCCAUAAGAUUGAUCAUUUGGCUUGAAAGCCAUGAAUCUUCACACAUGAUAGCUCGUUUCUGAGAAUACUUUUUUAAAACAAUUGUCGUAUUACAAGUUUAUUAUUUUUCCUGGAGACUUGGUCACAUAUAAUGACACAAUGUGAAGAUUUUCCAAAUUUUUUAUUUUUUUUUAUUUUUUUCAUGCUGGUUUCAAAAUGCGGUUAAAACGGCGGGCUUGAUCGUUCCUAGCUAGUGGUUGAUUCUUGGAAUUUUUUUGGUAUUUCUCUGAUUAAGUAGAUACUUAUGAACCUAGAAAUGAUUUUUGGAAAAAAUAAAGAGCAAACUAUGAGGCAGCUACAGUUCAAAUUUGACCCGUUUCCUACUGAAUCGGCGAAAAUUUGUCUUUUUCAGCAGAGGUGGAAUAAAGCUUUUAACACCCAACCAUUUGGUCAACUGAACAUUAAAUAUGACCUAAGAUUUUAUAAAAUUGAUGUGGCCCAAAUUGGCAACAAAUAUUUGCUAUGUUCUUCAUAAAAAAUCAUUUUGGGCACUCGAAAAGUAAUUCUCUUACAGAAAACUUAUUUCUGAGAACACUUCUUUAUGAUAUUUGCAUUAUUCAAAGUUUGUUAUUCUUACUGAAAAGUAGGUCACACUUGGAGACACAAUGCAAAGUUUUUUGAUUUCUAUUUGUUUUUAUAAAUUUUCUAGGCCGUCAAAUAGCAGACAUGUUUUAACAUCUUAUUUUGAAUCGAUUAUGACCAAUUUAAAUGGUCUUAAAAUCAUCAAAGGGGUACUACAUUUUGAUUGGUCCAAAACCAUCUCACACGGAUCAUGGAUUAGCACUGUCGGAUGCGCCCGGNNNNNNNNNNNNNNNNNNNNNNNNNNNNNNNNNNNNNNNNNNNNNNNNNNNNNNNNNNNNNNNNNNNNNNNNNNNNNNNNNNNNNNNNNNNNNNNNNNNNNNNNNNNNNNNNNNNNNNNNNNNNNNNNNNNNNNNNNNNNNNNNNNNNNNNNNNNNNNNNNNNNNNNNNNNNNNNNNNNNNNNNNNNNNNNNNNNNNNNNNNNNNNNNNNNNNNNNNNNNNNNNNNNNNNNNNNNNNNNNNNNNNNNNNNNNNNNNNNNNNNNNNNNNNNNNNNNNNNNNNNNNNNNNNNNNNNNNNNNNNNNNNNNNNNNNNNNNNNNNNNNNNNNNNNNNNNNNNNNNNNNNNNNNNNNNNNNNNNNNNNNNNNNNNNNNNNNNNNNNNNNNNNNNNNNCUCCCGGUCCCACCCACCGAAGCGAUCCCGAUCCAGUCCAGAUCAAGAGAGAGCAAGCCCCCUCCCGCGAUUCCCACCACCGCCAACCCCCCCACCAUCGCCGACCUCGUCUCCGCCACGCACCCUCUCCCCUAGCCUUCACCCCCUAGAUCCACCAGUCCAGGCACGGCCAUGGCAUCACGGCCGACUUUCUUGCUGGCGCGUGCGUGCGUGCUUCACACUGGCCACGGGCCUCCGGCAAUCAGGACGGCGACAACAUCAACGGGAUCAUCGGGUCUCCGGUGGCUCGUGCCCCUCGCGCAACUGUUCCCCUCUUCCCCUCCCGCCAUGCGCUCCAGAUCCGGCCCUAACGAAGCCAUGGUGAGUCCCGUCGCGGCGUCUGGCCACCCGGCGACGGUGGGGAUCCGCUGCUGCAGCGCCUCCGCACGGGGACCUGCGAGGCCGCGCCAUGGUUGCGGGACGCCUCCAGGAACUCGGCCCGCGACCUGCUCGCCUGGACCAAGUAGGGCCGCGGCCUCCGUGCCAUCCUCGUCAUCUCGGUGAGCUUGCCCCUGCGCGCACCCUAAUUUCCUUUUCUGAUCCGUCCCAGACACUGUUUAACACCGUAGCAACUGAUGCACUUGAGGUCCUAGAACCGCCGCCUCUUUCCCGCUAGGGUUUGCGUCGUCUGGGUCCCCGGCCUGUUUUCGAGGGAUCCGUGCCUCUAGCGGGGCCUAGGGUUCGCGGAACCCGCCCUGGCUGUAGCUGCUGCUAGAUCCACUGGCGUUAAACCCUUGCGUGAUUAGAUCUGUAGAGCUAUUUAUUACGGUGGUGGCUUCCUGAAUUUGUGAAUUGCGUCGGAGUGUGAUCUUGCAGUGCCGUUUGAGGAGGAUGACAAGGACCCAAGGAUCUGGUUCCUCGAUCAUAAUUACCAUGAGUCUAUGUUCUCCAUGUUUAAGAGGAUCAACGGUAUGUUGUUUUAGAAUUUUUAUUAGAUAUGCUUGGACUUGCCAUGUGUAGUUGUUUCUGUUGAAUACUGAUGAGAUGUUUUGGAUGCAGCCAAGGAGCAUGUCGUUGGCUGGUACACACUGGUCCAAAACUGAAGGAGAACGACUUGGAUGUUCAUGCAUUGUUUACCAAGUAUGAUUCUGCUCUACAACCAUUUAUCCUACAGUAAUUUAGAAGCUCUUCUCGGUUUGUACACAAUUAUUCGGUACAAUUACUUGCAACUUAUACAUACGGACCAAUGUUGGAAUGCAAGCGUGAACUCUUCAUGGAGGCUAGAUGUUCAUGGAGGCAAGCGUGAAUAUCGCCGUCACGCCCUCCUUCCCUUGCUUCCGGCAUUUCCCCUGGAUUCAGGUACGCAUCACGCCGGCUCUUCCUUGCUGCCUCCCUGUUCUGGGCUAGCCUUCUCAGCGUCUGCAUUUCAUCAAUUACCAGAAAUUGAGUUGCAUGUCCAACACAAUCACAGAAAGAAACACUAGCAGCAUUACUGCCUAUGCUUGAUUUCUGCAGUAAACAUGUUAUCUGAAAAUCUGUAAUGAUGUUAACUGAUGUGAGUUUGUGCACUUGAUGUUUUAUACUUGGAAAACAAAUGAACUUGUUUUGGUUAUAUCUCUCCCUGUUAAUUAUGGGUGAUUUCCUUCUUGCAAAUUAUAUAUGUUCUAUCUUGAGCUAUCUCUCUUCUUGGUAAUAAAAGUAUGUGCAUUGGUUGAUAUUUAGUAUUCGUAUGUCUAGUUCACGAUGAUGGUCACUUGCGGCAGAGGCACCGAUAUUUUGGUGUCUAGAUAUUCGUCGCCGAUAACUAAGCACGCAAUGCUUGUAUAUACCCAGUUUUUACUGCCUAGUAGUGAGCACACCUAGCCCCAGUCACCUACUUCAAUCAAAGAAACUAAGAAUGUUCAUAGUAAUUUGAAAAGUAUCUCAUGCUUGAUGCUCAUACACUUGCAUACACAUGCCUCCUCCUCCUCUUCCUCCUCUCGUCUCCCACAAUCUAAUGUGUGUGUGCAUUUUUUUUGUAGGUUCAUGAAGAGGCCAAUCUGGUGUUGUGAAAGAAGGGGGCUGGCCAUGGAGAAGAUCCCGUGGCAAGCUCCUCAGGGGUAGGUUAUCCCACAGAUCUCCUCAAUUGGGAUGUGAAGAUGCAAAACUUCUGUUUGUUCGGGAGCUGCUUUAUUAUAUCAAAUGCACCAGAUUCUUACUAUUUCUCUUAUGAUCUUCUGGCUGGGCUAGAGAAAAAACAGAGUUGCAUAUGAUUUCUAGGUACUAGUAGUCUAAAAUGUUGGCCUAUCUAGUGUACUAUAGGAACCUGUUGCAAUCCCCUCUAGAUGGAGGAUUAGUUCAGGUGUUAUGCAACCAAUAACCCUUCAUAUAUACCGCAUGCUGUUGUUUACUAAAACCAAAUAAAUUAUCUGCAUGAAACAGAGCUUAAAAUUUGCGACGAAUAUCACCAUACUAGUAUGAGGUUCCUUUUGCAUUUCUCUGUUUGUGCUGCUAUUACUAUGACAUGCAUUGUCUGUGUUUAAAUUUUGUUUGCUGCUUUAGAUCACUAAGGAUUUUUGGUACCUUUUUAUGUCUUGUGUAGUAGCGCUAAAAUCUUACAGCAAAAUACAUCUUUAACCGUAUAUGAGAUUAGCAAGGAAUUAUAUGGUUUGAAUUUUGGCGCUGGCCUUGUUCUCAGUUAUUUUGUAGACUGCUUUCAAUGGGGGAAGAAGCUUAGAGAACUUCAAUUAAAUAUAAGAAUUAUCCAUGAUUUCAUUGCUAUGAAGGUGAUCGAGUUGGUGUUCUAUACCAGUUCCAUAUUUACUUUGAUGGUUCUUGAUACGUGAACUAUUUCAUAGGGCAUAGUUAUCCAUGUUGCAUUCUAAUUCCUUAUUUGACUAGAUGCUUCAAAUGAUGAGGCUAGUUGAUUAUCCAUGUUGCAUGUAACACUACGGGAAUCAGCUAAUUUGCCGUCAGGGGAGCUCUUUGCCGUCAGCUUUUCAUCGGAACAGACGGCAAAGACCACUUUUGCCAUCAGUUACUGACGGCAAAGAAUGGCUAACGGCAAAGACAUACUUUGCCGUCUGUAAAAAAACACAGACGGCAAAGACUCUUUGCCGUCUACAUUUUUUAUUUAGAGAUGGCAAAGUGCUCACUUUGCCGUCUGUAAAAAAAAUCGAAGACGGCAAAAAUAUUUACCAUCUGUGUUUUUUUACAGACGGCAAAGUGCUACUUUGCCAUCUGUAAAAAGCCCGCAGACGGCAAAGAAGAAACACAGCCCACGUAUCAAUCACGCGGAUCAGUGAUAUGGCAAAAUCUGGUCCACACAUCCCUACAAUGCAAAACCCACUCGCCCCACGCCCCGAUGCCCACGCCCCCACCACUCUCUCUCUCUCUCUCCACCCCCAUCACGAUCCUUAUCCUCCUGACAACCCACCCACCCCCAUCACGAUCUCUCUCUGCUCUCGAUCUAGAGAACACAGCCACCACCUCGCCUGUCGGCCAUGCCCUCGCCGACCACCACCUCUCCUGCCGGCUCCGGCCUCGCCGGCCAGCACAUCGACCGCCCGCCGUCCUCGGGCCUUCCCUCUUGGCCUCCAGGUCCAGCGGCCCCGUUCCCCUUGGCCCUCGCCGACCGCCGGCCUGGCGCCAUCACCACGGUCAACCUCCACGCCCCGUUCCCCGUCGCCCCAGCCGGCCGCCUGCGCCGUUCCCCGUCACCCCAGCCGGCCGUCGGCGCUGUUCCCAGUCGCCCCAGCCGGCCGCCUGCGCCAUUCCCCGUCACCCCAGCCGGCCGCCGGCGUCAUUCCCUGUCACCCCCGCCCGCCGCGGCCCCUUUUGUCUUCACCACCGGUGCCACCGGGCCCGACCUCGUCCCCCUUCGCCACCGCAGGCCGCUAGCCCCGACCAGUCGCCCCACCUCCACCGGCCCCGGCCCUCGAUGCUGCACCAUCACCCGGAUGAGGUUGGCAAGCUCCAGCGCGGUGGCAGAUGGCUGGGGCGACGGGGAACGGGGUGCGAAGGCAUGCUGGGGCUACUCGGGCAUCCAUGUUUGCCUCAGUUCUCUUGUAAUCUGUGUAAUUCGUCUGUGUGUAUUGUGUGUAAUUUAUUGGUUUGUAAUCUGUUCAUCUUGUGAAAUAGAGCAGUUUUAUAUUGUGAAAUUCAUUCGGUGGUCGUUGAUUCUUGGAACAACAAGUGUUGGAUACUGUGGUGUUCGUGGUCUGUUCUUUCAUUUUUUUAAAUAUAAAAAAUUCUUUGCCGUCUGUGAUUUAGGAAGAAGACGACAAAGACAGAUCCUGGCUGACGGCGAAUACACUUUUCUUUGCCGUAUGUUAUUUAUACGGUUGAAGGCAAAACUUUAGUUUAGCGGACGGCAAAAUCUUUGCCGUUUGGUCGAUGAAAAGUAGACGGCAAAGUACUCUUUACCGACUAGGCUUUGUCGUCUAUGUUUGCCAGUUGACGGCAAAAUCUUUGCCGUCUGUAUUACAGCCUUUGCCGUCUGUACUUGCAUGACGGCAAACUACCUGAUUCCUGUAGUGUAAAUGGGUUGAGUAGAUAGAAUUGGAGUGAGCAGAUCACUAUAGGACUAAGGAAAAAUCAGAAAGUAUGUGUAGGAAAAUAUCAUCGUUCUUGCUCACUUUGCAAAAAUGACGAGUACUAGAAAUUGUUCCCUUUCACUAAUAUUUGCUGUUUGCUGAUGGUUAUACGUCUUUUGCUUGAUCUAUUAUGAUUCAUGCACACAGGUUGGCUAGAAAUAGCCCUGGUUAUAGAUAUUUUUUAUUAUUUUAUACAUUAAUGUAUGUCGUUAUUAUUUUUACGUGUGAUGCUUUCAGCCUGUUUUACUGUUCCCUCCUCGAUUGAUCUAUUCAUGUAAUGUUCUGUUCUUAUAGGAAGGUAAGUUGUCGCACCUGGAGAACGAGCAAUGAAGACAUUGUUAGGACAGUACCAGAUGUGCUCCUACGUGUUCAACAAUGUUAUGUAGUAGUGAGAUAAGGCAAAUUAUGUAUGCAUUGUUAGGACAGUACCAGAUGUGCUCCUACGUGUUAAACAAUUCCUGUGUAAUGAAAUGUUGUAUUCCCUGUGUACAUGUUGCUUUAAUGCCAGAUUGUGAAAAUUACUCAAUUGCCAUGAUAGUACCGGGCCUGAAUAGGCCAUGACCCAGAAAUAAAUGUGGUACAAACGUGGUAUGGGGUGAAAAGGCCAUGGCCCAAACAGGACGAAAACUAAUAAGAAAUGCAUUAUAAGAGGCCAUGGGCCAGAAAUAAAAAGGCUAAAAUGUGGGCUUGGCCCAUGUAGUCGACCAAAUUAAUAGGGAAAAAAUAUUCUAAAAAGGCUGAAUUGUUGGGCUAGGCCCAUGCAGAACACCUAAUUGGACCGGGCUGAAUCUUAGCAACGACCAAUUCAAUUGGUCACAAUUUUGCCACGUCAGCUUGCCACGUUGGAUCCGACAUGGCCUGGGCAGACAAUCAUUGACCAAAACAAAAGGUCAUGGGUUCAACGACCUUCUGUUUUGGUCGUAAACGUCUACGACCUUAUCCCGAAGAAGGUCGUUAAUUUCAGUUUACGACUGCCAGCUUUUGACCUUCUGUUUUUGGUCACAAAAAGGUCACAAAUGAAAAAUAAUGACCAUUCAUUGACCAAUAGUCAAGGUCACAAGAUGACAUAUUUCUUGUAGUGUCCAGCCAGGGAUGGGCGUGAAUUUGCCAGCGAAAACUUGGUUCGGCCUUGGCCAAAACUAUCAAUGUUGGCACCCACGGGCGUCGUUACCUCAUUGCGGGCUUUAUGGGGUGAUUCGUGUUCCCUGUGUGCCUCGAGGGAAACACCAGAUUUGGGCUUUCCAUAUCGAAUGAUGGCGAGGUUCCUGCGUCGUCGCCCCCAUGGGGGCAUCAUUGCUACUUGUGAGCUGCAUUGGGAUUUCCCCGAAGAGGAGAGGAUGAAACAGUACAAUAGAGAUAAGUAUUUCCCUUAGUUAAGAACCAAUGUGAUUAAUCCAGUAGGAGAACCACACAGAACCUCGUUAGUAGCACCUGCGCACACAAAAGCAAAUACUUACAUCCAACGCAAACAAGGGGGUUGUCAAUCCCCUCAAUAGUUACUUACAAGUAAUAAAUCUUGUAGUGGUAGAUAAUAAAGUAAAUUAUAAAACAAAAUAAAAGAAAUAAAAUUGCAACAAGAUAUUUUUGUGUUUUUAUAUAUGAUAAAAGUAGACCCGGGGCCACAUAUUUCACUAGAGACACCUCUCUCGAGCACAUAGCAUAUGGUGAAUGAACAUAUUAUUGUUGGGCAAUUGAUAGAAAAACGCAGAGUUAUGACGAUAUUCAAGUCAAAGAUCAUGUAUAUAGGCAUCACGUCUAAGACAAGUAGACCAACUCCUGCCUGCAUCUAUUACUAUUACUCCACCGAUUGACCAAUAUCCAGAUUGCAUCUAUGGUAUUAAGUAUAAAACAAAGUAACGCCUUAAACAGGAUGACAAGAUGAAAACGAAGUAAACCCAAUCAAUAUAAAUAAACCUUGUCGUUUUAACCUUAAUGGCGAUAAUACAAAUACGUGUCUUGUCCCUUUCUGUCACUGGGAUAUAGAGCACCACAAGAUUGAACACAUCACAAAGCACCUCUCCUAUUGCAAGAUAAAUCAAUCUCAUGAUCAUUAUCAUUAGCUUCCUCACUUAGUUGGUGUAGGCAUCACUGGAACUGAUUUCUGUGAUGAACUACUUUCCAAUUCGGGAGAAGGUACAAUUACCUUAUCAAGUUCUAUUUUCCACCCACUCACUUCUUUCGAGAGAAACUCCUUCUCUAGAAAGGAUCCAUUCUUAGCAACAAAUAUCGUGCCUUCGGAUCUGUGAUAGAAGGUGUACCCAACAGUCUCCUUUGGGUAUCCUAUGAAGAUACAUUUCUCCGAUUUGGAUUCGAUCUUAUCAGGUCGAAACUUUUUCACAUGAGCAUCGCAGCCCCAAACUUUAAGAAACGACAACUUAGGUUUCUUGCCACUACAAGAAAUAUGGCCAAUUAUGACUCCCCAUUUUUGUCGUUAAUUUGUCAUUGCUUUCGUUUAUUGACCUUUUUUUGACCAAAUUCGGAAGGUUAAUAGUUGGCCGUCAAGAACGAACAAAUGUGACCUUUUCCAGAAUUUUCGUCAUGGCCACCCUUGACCAAAAUUUAGGUCGUUAAAUCUUUGACCAAAAUUAUGGUCAUUACUAAUGAGCCUAGACCACAUAGGAUCUGAUGUGGCCGAGCCAACAUGGCACAUGCGAUGACACGGAUGCCAUGUAGGAUCGGUCCAAAUCAGUUGUUUUAAUGGGCUGGGCCCAAUAAUUCAGCCCACUUUUAAAUUUACUUUUGGGCAAUAAGCAUGAGCCAAGCCCAACAGAUCAGUUCUUGGGCUGAGUUGUGCAACCCAUUUAUCUAAUCCAUCAUUAAUUGGGCCAGCCCUUUUAUCUACCCAACAAAAACAUUUUGUUUUUUUCUGUCAAAGGGCCUUGAAACGGUCCAGCCCACUAACACAAUUUAGUAUUUUCACUCCAGCCCUUAUUGAAGGGUGACCAACAACAACCAACAGUAUCUCAAAAAGAAAAAUACAUUGCACAAUUUGGCAGUCAACCAACACAGGAGAAUAUAAUGAAAAUAAUAAUAUAAUUCACCAGGAUUUCAAUAACUUAGGCCCAGCAUUAUCUUUACACCACAGGUUCAUAAGAUGCACCAAACAAAAUAACACUCAUAAUAUGGCCUCCAUAUUGUGCACUAGUAACCAGUAACAUAAGAUGGCACCAACCAAAACAACACAACUAGUGAAGGAAUGUGCUGGAGGGACAUUCUUUAGUGAGAAUAUCAGCAACAAUAGCAGCAUCACUCUUUGGUUCUCAACCUUUUGGUACCUCUUGUUCCAUAGCACUUUCCAUGUCAGCCUGACACUUAAAGAAAGAUGCACACAUGAGCAGAGUAUUAUGUCCAUCAAUAUACUGCAGUUGGUUCUGAAUGACUAGGAAACUUUAUAAGAAAACUAUUCAAGAAUAGAUUUCCUAGUAGCAGCAAUUUAAGAAGAUAACAUCAUAAUACUAAUACAACACCUGACAUUUAAAAAAAAGAAUGACUAGGAAACUUUAUAAGAAAACUAUUCAAGAAUAGAUUUCCUAGUAGCAGCAAUUUAGGAAGAUAACAUCAUAAUACUAAUACAACACCUGACAUUUAAAAAAAGAUGGGAAAAUCUAUACUUCACACAACGCACACCAGCGUCUCAUGCGGCGGCUACCGUGCGCGGCUAGCUACAGUGCGGUGCCCUGUUUGCUCAAUACAGACUAGCAGUUAUUGCUACAUGGGCUGGACAACACAUGCUUUUGUAUAUCCAGACUACAUGCUACUAAUUAAGUACUAGUUAUUUGAAAAGUUUGUAGCAGACAAGCAGAACAAAUCUUACUUGCUAAUUAUUUUUGGCAAGUUACUGUUAGCUACAUGAAAUAAGCAUGGCACAAGGUUUACUAAACAGGUGAGAAUGCGAAACAAACCAUUGUAGAAAUUUAAAUCGAGCACGUAACUUAAAUGGGAACAUGGAGCAGAGAAGAACUUACUAUGUUUCAGGAGCGCAUAUGUUGUUUCUUUAGUAUAGUAUACAGUAUCAAAUAAACUGCCGCAAGUCCUAGACAUUUCAUUCAGAUCAUAUAUGAAAUGACACGAGUUUCUCCGUUCUAAAAGCUGGGAAGAUAGAUGCUUCAGGCAAUCACUAGACAAUUAAUCGAAGAGCAUACAACGCCCUCUCUUAAUUACCAGUGUCCAACGACAAAGUAAUGCCUGCUGGACUACUAUAGGAACUGAAAUUGCUUGUAUACUAUCGCAUUUCCAGUACCAAAAAUGAAUGUGCAAUGCGAUUAGGAAAGGGAAUAUAGCAGCCAUGCAACAGAGGACCGGGACAAACAAAAAAGCUAUAAUAAAACAGGA
rnacentral:lncRNA from 1 species